rnacentral:lncRNA from 1 species
AUUUUUUUUUUUGUAAAAAUGGGUUACUAUUUUGAAUUUUGCAGAUUUUGCCUGUACCUUUAAUAAACGGACCAAAAUAUCCUUAUUUCUAUUUCUCUCUUUUUUUUUUUCUCCUCCAGAUUUGUCUCCCUUCUUUUCCUCAUUCUUUCCGCUCUUCACCUCCCAUUUCCUCUGCGUUUUUCUCGUCCUCCGGUUCCUCUACGUUGAUCCCAUGCUCUGCUCUCUUACCUUGCCCAUCCUUCCGUUGAUACCGGAUCAGAUAUGGCAUAGAUUGCGAAGAUAAGAUUAAGGAAGAGGCCUGAACCAUACAACUCUUUAUUUUUUAUUAACAAGUCGUUGAGUAAACAACAAAAUAUAUUUUAGACGAUCACUUUCUAGACGACACUUUAUUCUAGUGUUUUUAAUAUUUGGCAUGUGCGGAACGUUGCCAAUAAAUAUAUUUUUAUCAAAUACUGAGACACUAUAUUAAAGCGUCGGUAUAUUUAUAUCGACAUGUUUAUUUUUUACUCGACGCUUUUACAACCGUUGGGAUUAUUCUUGUCGACGCUUUAAAUCGUCGCUAAUUAUUAUUUAAAGUGCAGUAUAAGAUUUAUUAGUACUAUUAAACUGUACACACAAAAAAUAAAAGAAGAGUCAACUAAAGACUUAAGUCCGCGUGGAAACUCAGCCAUUUAUUGCAGCCUUUUAUUUUUUUAUCAGUUGACGAUUGACUCAUCACAAACCACUCCUUAGUCCUUUCUCUCUCAGUAUCUAAGACCAUAUGAAAGAUCUAUAAAUAUUCAUACCAGGAAACCUUAUAGCUUGCAAAAUCCAAGUAUAUACCGCUUUGUACUCCUCUCUCUCUCUCUCUCUCUCUCUCUCUCUCUCUCCACAAAAAAGGAGAAAAGAAUUAAUAGAUAUACACUGUGGUGUAUAUCCAUCCAUUAGCUAUUUCUCCACACUAAGAUGGUUAAGGUAAAAUGAAGUUCUGAGCCUAUCUUAUUAUUUGUUCUAAUUCAUUAAUUAAUGAGCUUUUCUGUAUAAUAACUUAAUUAUAUAUAUCUAAUUUAUUGUGUACAGCAAAAGAUGGUUCUCAAGGUCUCAAUGGAGGAUCCCAAGAGACGCUCAAAAGCACUUCAAAUUGCUACUCGAUUUAUUGGUAAUUAAUCACAAUUACAAAGAUACAUUAAUUAAUUUUCUCCUCGUCUUCUUUUUACAAAUGACAAUUUUAAGUUUAAUUCAAUUGCUAGAUGUAUAUACAUAUAUAUAUGUUUCUAAAAGAUAAGAGUUUUUGUAGGUGUUAUAUCCGCAUCGUUGGAAGGCGAUCGAAUUGUGGUGGUCGGGGAGGGGGUCGAUUCGAUCGAACUAACGACCGCGCUGAGGAAGCGAAUGUCCUACGCAGAAUUGAUCAGCGUCGCGCCAGUGGAAGCUAAGAAAGAAGAGAGUAAACAACCCGAGGCGAAGAUCGUUCAAUCUGCAGUACCCCUGCCAUAUCAUAACUUUACAGUUCUGCCACCGUACCCAUAUUUUACUCAAGAUUACACGUAUGAUCCUUACAGAAUCUUUUAUUAGAAGAUUAUGAGUUGUGGGAACUAAACCAAAAAUAUGUUCUAUAGGGUUUUUAUUAAGGUACUUUCUAUAGGGUUUUUUUUUUUUUUUUUCCUUUUUUGGGGAUAAUUAUGAAGUAGGGGUGGUGUGGGGGGCGCUAGGGAGCAUUAAUAUAUUUUUUAAGAUUUCAAUCAUAUUUCAUCCACUGUAAUAAUAUGUUUUUAUUUUUGAAAUCUCUAAAAAUGUGAGUUUGCGAUUAUUGUUGGCUUAAAGAGGCCAACAUUUUGUCUCGGGCUGAAUUUCAGAUUGGUAUGAUUGAAGUCCGCUGGCGCUAUGUGUUUUCUCACUUGAACUCGAUUGGAUGUAUCCGUCCUAAUAACUUAAUAUUUUGGACUCAAUUAUAACUUCCAUUUGUAUAUUGGGUAUGUUAUGCAGUAAUGUAAGCUAAAAUGUUGCAUGAAAAUGGAGCUUCCUUUUAUUUUCUUUAUUUAUACUUUUGCCUUUAUGAAGUAUAGGGCUGGCAAACGAGCGAGCCGGCUCGCGUUCGACUCGUGUUCGGCUCGAUAUUCGGCUCGCUCGAGCUCGACUCGAAAUUAAAUGAGCCGAGCUUGAACAAAAUAAAAGGCUCGAAAUUUAUUUCAAGCCGAGCUUGAGUAUUACUCGGCUCGUUCGAAUUAGGCUCGAAAAGCUCGAAAGCUCGAAAAUAUAUAUAUAUAUAUAUAUAUAGAGUUGAGCUAGAAUACUAUCGAUAGCAAACGAGCUCUUUUGCCACCCAUUUGUUUUCGAUGAUGGAGCCUCCAAAUUGACGAUCAACACCGUUGAAUAUGAUCUAUAUCACUUGAAGUGUUUAGAAAUCAAAUUUCAUACAUUUUCGAUAUUGUUCUCUUAUCCAUCGAGUGGAAUACAAAAAUGGAACGCUGAAAAUAAAUAUUCUAAAAAAAGAUGGUCAUAGGAGUCUUGUAAUCAAGAUUAAGAGUGAUAGAUCUGUUGUCUAAAUAGUUUUAAAGAAUUUUUUAACAAAAAUUCAAUUGAUUUAGAUACUCUUUACGCCGUUAAACAGAAAAACGCCUUAAAUUCGACCAUUAAAAAUUUACAAAUUUUGAAACCCUCUUGGUCAUUAGGGUCAAAUAAUGUCGAAAAGAUUUGAAAUUUGAUUAUAGACAUUCAUAAAUGGUAUAGAUCAUGUUCAAUGCGGUGCCGAUCGUCGAUUUGAAGCUUAUCAUCGGAAAACAAAUGGAGGCAACGGAGCCUGUUUGCUACCGACUAGUUAUUCCAGCUCAACCUUAUAUUUAUAUAGUUAUAUUAUAUAUAAUAUAUAUAUUAUAAUGUAUAUAAGUAUUUUUAAUUAGUAUAUAGGCUUUAACUUAUUAUUGGGCCAUUAUUCUUGCCCAUUAAAAUUAAAUCCAACAAGUAAUAACCGGCAAUUGAGCCCAACUCUAAAUUACCUAACACACUCUCCCUUUUUCAGACUUUACUGUUGCAGCGUAACCUAAACCAGAUUAACAUUCAAAUUUUCAAAUCCUAAUUUUUUUCCCCUCUCUCUUCUCUCAUCCUCUCAUCAUCUCACCCAGCUCAUGACAGUCACCUAGCUCACAUUUUCCUUACAAUUAUUUUCGUAUUUCGUUGAACUAUUUGAACAGUUGCAUCAAAUUAUUAAGGUAAUUGUUUCUAUAAAUGCAAAACUAUUGAUUAAUAAUGUGAGAAAUUCAAUCGGCUCUUUAGAGCUCGAGCUCUGCUCGACUCGAAUAGGCUCCGCUCGAGUCCGGCUCGAUUAAUUUUCAAACCGAGCUUGAGCCUAUGAUUUAGGCUCGAAAAUUAAUUCAAGGCCGAAAUUGAGCCUGACAUAAGCCGCCUCGAGCUGGCUCGCCUUUCCCCCCUAAGAAAGUAGUGACCCUGCCUAGGAGCAAAACCCACUCCGGGUUGGGGAGCUCCCGCCCGAGAUCCCGUCCCGACGGGGAGUAGUAAGAUGGGAGAUAAAUAGAACAGAUUCGGGGUGGAAACGAUUGCAUAAUUUUACGGAUCCCAGACGGAUUCGGGAUACGAAAAAUAAGAAAAAUUUGACCUGUCCCGAAUCCCGCCCCGAAUCCCCCCCCAUGAUCCGACCCGAAUCCACCGCCCGAAAAUUAUUGAUAUUUCUUAAAAAAAUAUUCUUACAAAAUAUUGUAUUUAUAAAAGCUUCAAAAUACAAAUAACUUAGGUACUUUUCAUUUCUAAUCGUAUUUUGAAACUUUUGAACUGUUGUUUUGAAUUGUGAUUGAUAUUUUUUACUUUUAUAAUAAUAUAUUAAAUUAUAUAUAUGAUAUAUUUUAAAAAUUAUUAUUUAUAUUUAUAAAAUAUUAAUAUUAUAAUUUUAUAAAAAAUAUAAGUUGGCAGGGCGGAUUCGGGCGGCGGGAGUGGGUUUACGAUGGCGGACGGAUUAUGAGAAUAUAAUAUUUUAACCCGUCCGGAUUCAGAGCGGGAGGACGGGGCGUGGGUGUCUUGGUAGUCAAGGCGGGAAGGCGGGGCCCGGGGCCCCCGCCCCCGAGACCACUCCGUUUGCUCACCUAACCAUUGUCCUUAACUUUUUUGGAUAAUUAAAUACUACUAUAAGGCCGUCUUGGAUGUCUGGCAUCCUUACGUUUCCUGGCUUGUUGAAUGAUGAGAUUCAUUAGUUGAUUUUUUAGGCUGUAUCUAUUUUGGUUAUCCCUAUAUGGAAUUUCAUUCCUCGAGGAUUCAUAGGUACUGCAAACAAUCGAUGAAUUGAAGUUAGCCAGGUAAAUUUUUGGCACAAAAUGAAGUCUAAUUUGAGUAUUUGAUAUCUUUUAUAAAUUAUAACUCAAGUUGCGGUUCGGUGGAGAAAGGAUGAUCAACAUCGACUCCGAAAGUAUGGAUAUAUAUAGUAUAGGUACUAUAGUACUACUAAUAUAUAUAUAGUAUUAUAUACGGUGUAUUUAUAUCAUAUAUAUAUAUAUAUAAUAUAUACCUAUAUAGCUCAUAUAUAAAUAUAAUAUCUAUAGACCUUCUCAUCGCAAACAUAAAGAAAACGGUCCACAAAGCUUUAUAUUGUUGGCAUAGCUCAAGUUGUUUGGCAAAAAAAAGCCCUUGCACUAGUGGUAUCGAGGAUAGUAUCCAUGGUGGGGAGAUGAGAGCGCCAUAAAAAUCUGUUAACGUGAUUAAAAAUUGGAGAACCUCUGUAAUAUAGUAAUUGUAAAUAUACUUUUAUAAGUUAACUUUCAAUAUGUUGUACCAGAACAAAAGGUUCUAAUAUUUCAAAUACGUUCUCUUGGUUUAUAUUACCGUUCGACAACUUUUAAUUUCAACAACCAAUAAAAUAAAUGCCAAUUUGCCAUCACAAAUAACUUCGUCAAAAUUCACCUUAAGCAGUAUAAUCACUAUAACAGUAAUUAUGGUAUCAAGCGAGCCAAAUUUUUGGGAGCACUUUUAAUAUAUGUGUCACAUUUAGUCAAAUUUUUUUAAGAAAAUCUAUUAAGCACCUAAAUCUGAGAAACGCCAAUUUAAUCAAAAUUAAAAAAAAUUCCUUUUAUCAACUAACCGCACCAAGCAACAACUCGGCCGAAUCUACAAAAAAAAAGAAAAAAAAGAAAAAAUUGAAUCACCAUCCCUCCUCCCGUUCUCCUCCUCCGCUGUCGUAGCUGCAACCCGAGGUACCGGGUUCUGGCGGCUGCAGUUCCGCUCCGUGAGGAUCUUGGCAGGAAUCGUAAAGGGCUACGAUCCACCACGUAUCCCCUCCCUGCCACAGGUCGCUGAGGAUGGGUGGCCAAUAAUGGAAGGCGGGCCCAUACUAACUACAUGACCCCCCACAUAUAGUCAAUGCACUUUAAAAAGUGCCGGUAUAUUAUUACACUUUUGAUCUAUAUCUGAUAUUUGUAAAAGUGUCGCUAAUACUACUUUUUUGUUGUAAAUGAAAUAUAAAAGGGUAAAAUUAUAGUAUCAAGGUUAGUCUCCAUAAACUAACCAAGACCUCAAAUGGAAUGUGAGCCUCACGUGAUUUUAUCAAGGCGAUCUAUAAAUCAUAAGCAGUCGGUCCUAUUCAAUCGAUUAAUAAGAUACUGUAGACUAACGGUAGGAGAUCUGGACAUUGUCUUUAAUGGAGCGGUACGGGUUUAACCAUCCUUAUACUCUAAGGUUGAUAUAUACGAAAUACUGUAACAUGGGAUGUCCCGAUCCUAAUUUUCUGUGAUGGCUCCAUCCAAAUUCCGGGGAAAGGGGAAUUGACCUCCCAAACGUCCCCGUUUUCUUGUAGAUCGCAAACAAGAACGACCCACCGAGCAAAAAAAACUCUCCGCUCGUCAAAUGGUAUUCAGAGAUCGAAAUCAUGGCAGACGAGUUAGAUCUUGUUUCUAAUAAGUUCAAAACAAGCGCUCUUCCUCUUUCUCCUACGCCCACGGGAAACAUAUAUCAACGACCAUCACUGUUAAAUCUUGGUAUUCUUGUUGUGCAAUUGUUGUGAGCUUCCCAAUAGCCUUCUAUAUCCCGCUGGUAUUCGUUGCUUUCGCAUAAUUUUUUCAAGCACCGAUGGAUUCUUUCCCAACACCCUUCUACAAUGAUCGUAAUGCUGAUUUAUUACUGCUCCUACAGAAUGCCACUUCAUUAUCAUAAAAAUUGUUGUGUCGACAAAAAGAAAAAUGAAAGAUUGCAGUACGAGUUUUCCAUCCUUUGUAAUGCAGAAAGUCGCCGUCCAAUCCGUAAAGUUCGUACCUUAGCUCUUACAAGGCCAGGUGGAUGCAUUGAUUACCGAGAUCGUAAAGGCAUAGAAAAGCUAAGCUAUUAUGACGUCCUAAAUUUUCCACCCUUGUCAGGUAAUGAAAGCGGUUGCUAAAGGUUAGCUACUACAGAUCUAAGAACUCUAUAUGGAAUUCCAAUAAUAAUGAUGAUCAUGGCAUCAGUUUUCUUUUUAAAUUUUUAAUUUUGUAAUAUAUUUUAAUGGUGUUCAUUCUUCUUUAUUCUUACAUUUAAAUGCUUAAUAGUUAAUAACUCCAUUAAUACUCACCUCUUAAUUAACUCCUUUAAAUUUAUUUAUACUCCGCCCCUUUAAAUUUUUAAAUAGUGUGAAAUAUUAAGACAUUAAUUAGUAAAGGAAAAAACUGUCUAUUGUAUUGCCCAAGAAAUAAUUGCGUCAGUUUAUUUUUUUAUAUGUUUAUUUUUAACUAUCUUACUUAUAUUUUAAUUUAAUGUGCCUAUGAGCUAUAUACUUAAACUAUGGCAUAUGUUUUCUUUCCUAAUUAAUUAAAUAAAUCCUUAUACUUUAGAUAACAAAUUAAUAUUGUGGUAGUAAAAUUAGGUUCUCUAAAUCCUAAAUCCUAAACCCAACUUCUCGCUCUCCUCCGCACCCUCCCUCGUCUUCCAAACUCGCCCUCCGAUCGGUUGCUGGCCCCUCCCUCCCGCCAGCCCCCGACCCGUCCACACGGCGUGGCCAGCCCCCUAGAAGUGAGACCUCCGAGGAGGACGCCGCAGGAGACCCUCCCCCGCAUGGCGACCCCUCCCGCUACGCUCGACGUCCUCUGCGCGCCCGGUUCAUAGGGCAUGAUCCGCGAAACCCCUGACGAGGAGUGCGCGGCGCUCAAGGCCGUGGACGGCCACCGCGUUCAAAGAGGAUCUGUCGCGCCCCAUUCUGCAACAAUUUCGAAACUCUUAUACGACGCCCCACUCCCCUACCCUCGAUCACCUGUCCUUUCUCGUAGAAGAAAGUAACUCCUAUACAGUUUUCAAUUUUAUCCCGCCGCAUCCGCGGAAUUCCUACACUAUAAGCAUUAUUACAAACUUGAAAAUAGUAACUAAAAUUAUUCCUAUUUCCGAUAUAGGAACCAACCAUUCCUUUUAUACUAUUCAUCCCAAAAAUGUCAGCGCCACUGAGUGGAGUUAAUGAUCUAAAUUUUUUUUCCGACCAUGCCUUUAUUUUAUUUAUAAAGAAUCUAUCCGCUGGCACCCACGCGCGGUGCCUUCCACCUAGUGAUAGUUUGAUACUUGUUAGUUAACUUUGUUAAAAAAGUAAUAGUUACCUGUUGGGUUUAAAUGAAUUUGUAUUGGUUCGGUCCUGUCGCGUGUCCUUACUUUGUUUUUUUUUAAGGUUAUUUGCAUACCGUCCCUGCCGCAAACCAUAUGAAUUGCGAAAGAUCCCCUGCAAGAUAACGGAAACAAACAUAAAGCUGUCCCUGCAAAUUCCUAAUUUAUGCAGAAUGUCCCCUGAUUACAUCUGUUUAAGAACUGUUUUUUUUUUUAAGCAGCCUUUCAUGGAAAGACGCAUUUUUGCCCUCACAAAUAUACUCCCCUGCCAAAAGCAUCUUCCCCCUCCUCCUUUUCCUCUCUCCUCCUCAAUUUGGCCGCCGGAGCCCGGUGGCGGCGACGGCGCGGGUUCGAGCUCGCCGCGACAAAGAAGAGGGAAAGGAAGAAAUGAGAGGAGAAAANNNNNNNNNNNNNNNNNNNNNNNNNAUACAAAAAUGGAACGCUGAAAAUAAAUAUUCUAAAAAAAAUGGUCAUAGGAGUCUUGUAAUCAAGAUUAAAGUGUAUAGAUCUGUUGUUAAAAUAGUUUUAAAGAAUUUUCUAACAAAAAUUCAAUUGAUUUAGAUACUCUUUACGCCGUUAAACAGAGAAACGCCUUAAAUCGACCAUUAAUAUACAAAUUUGAAACCCUUUGUCAUUAGGCAAAUAAUGUCGAAAAGAUUUGAAAUUUGAUUUAUAAACACUUCAAAUGGUAUAGAUCAUGUUCAACGGUGCCGAUCGUCGAUUUGAAAGCUCUAUCAUCGGAAAACAAAUGGAGGCAACGGAGCCUGUUUGCUACCGAUAUUAUUCCAGCUCAACUCUAUAUAUAUAUAUAUUAUAUAUAAUAUAUAUAUAUAAAUUAUAUAAAAUAUUUUAAUUAUAUAUAGGCUUUAAUUUAUUGGGCCAUUAUUGUUGCCCAUAAAAUAAAUCCAACAAGUAUAACCGUCAAUUGAGCCCAAAUCUAAAUUCACAUAACACAUCUCUCUUUUCAGACUUUUACUGUUGCACGUAACCUAAAACAUGAUAACAUUCAAAUUUUCAAAUCCCUAAUUUUUUCCCCUCUCUCCUUCUCUCCUCCUCUCUCUCAUCCUCACCCAGUCAGACAGUCACCCUAGCUCACAUUUUCUUACAAUAUUUCUGUUAUUUUGAACUAUUGAACAUGUUGCAUCAAAUUAUAAGGUAAUGUUCUAUAAAACCAAACUAUUGAUUAUAUAAUGUCGAGAAUUCAAUCGGCUCGUUUAGAGCUCGAGCUCGGCUCGACUCGAAAUAGGCUCCGCUCGAGCUCCGGCUGCGAUUAAUUUCAAACCCGAGCUUGAGCCAUAGAUUUAGGCUCGAAAUUAAUUUCAAGCCGAAUUUGAGCUGACAUAAGCCGCGCUCGAGCUGCGCUCUUUCCCCCCUAAGAAGUAGGACCUUGCUAGGAGCAAACCGAUCCGGGUUGGGGAGCUCCCGCCCGAUCCGUCCCGACGGAGUAGUAACAUGGGAGAAAAUAAACAGAUUCGGGUGGAAACGAUGCAAAUUUUACGAUCCGAGACGGAUUCGGGAUACGAAAAUAAGAAAAAUUUUGACCUGUCCCGAAUCCGCCCCGAAUCCCGCCCCCAUGAUCCGCCCCGAAUCCACCCCCGAAAAUUAUUGAUAUUUUAAAAAAAUAUUCUUAAAAAUAAUGUAUUUAUAAAAAAGUUCAAAAUACAAAUAACUUAGUACUUUUCAUUUCUAAUGUAUUUGAAACUUUUGAACUUGUUUUGAAUUGUGAUUGAUAUUUUUUAUUUUUAUAUUAAUAAUUAAUAUAUAUAAUAUAUAUUAUUAAAAAUUAUUAUUUUAUAUUUAUAAAAUAUUAAUAAUUAUAAUUUUAUAAAAAAAUAAGUUGGCCAGGGGCGAUUCGGGCCCGGCGGGAAGUGGGUUUUACGAGGCGGGACCGGAUUAUGAGAAAUAAUAUUUUAACCCGUCACGAUUCAGAGCGGGAGCGGGGCGUGGGGUCUUGGUGAGUCAGGGCGGGAAGGCGGGGCCCGGGGCUCCCGCCCCCAGACACUCCGUUUGCAUCCCCUAACCAUGUCCUAACUUUUUGGAUACAUUAAACUACUAAAGCCUUGGAUGUCUGGACAUCUUACGUUUCCUUGGCUUGUUGAAUGUAUGAGAUUUCAUUUAUUGAUUUUUGUGGCUGUAUCUUUUGGUUUCCCUAUAUGGAAUUCAUUCUCGAGAUCAAUAGGACUAGCAACAAUAUGAAUUAAGUUAGCCAGUAAAUUUUUGGCAACAAAAUGUAAGUCUAAUUUGAGUAUUUUGAUAAUCUUUAUAAAUUAUACUUUCAAGUGCGUUGGUGUGAAAAGGAUGAUCAACAUCGACUCCGAAAGUAUGGAUAUAUAUAGUAAUAAGCUACCUAUAUAUAUAAUACUAUAUAUAGUAUCUAUAUACGGUGUAUUUAUACAUAUACACUAUACUAUAUAACUAGCAUACCUAUAUAGACUGCAUCUAUAUACAAUACUAAAAUAUCUAUUGACCCUUCUCCAUCGAAACAUAAAUAGAAACGGUCCACAAGCUUUAUCAUUGGUUGGCAUUAGCUCAAUUGUUGGCAAAAAAAAGCUCCUUCACUAGUGGUAUUGAGGAUGGUAAUGGUGGUGAGAUGAUGAGCGCCAUAAAAAUCUGUUAACGUGAUUAUAAAAUUGGAGAACUUUUAUAAAGUUCAACUUUCAUAUGUUGUCCAAACAAAAGUUCUAAUAUUUUCAAAUACGUUCUCUGGUUUAUUACCGUUCGACAACUUUUAUAUUUCAACAACAAAUAAAUAAAAUGCCAAUUUUGCCAUCACAAAUAUACUUCUCCAAAAAUCACAACAGUAUAAUCACUAUAACAGAAUUAGGUUAUAGCGACAAAUUUUUGGGACACUUUAAUAUAUGUGUCACAUUUAUGUCAAAUUUUUUUAAAAAAAUCUAUUAAGACCUAAAUAUGAAGCCCAAUUUAAUCAAAAAUAAAAAAUUCCUUUACUCAACUAACCGCACCAAGCCCACUCGGUCCGAUUACAAAUAAAAAAGAAAAAAAAAGAAAAAAUUGAUCACCAUCUCCUCUUCUCCUCCUCCGCUGUCGUAGCCAACGAGGUAGGGUUCUGGCGGCUGGAGUUCGCCCGUGAGGAUCUUGCAGGAAUCGUAAAGGGCUACGAUCACCACGUAUCCCUCUGCCACAGGUCGUUGGAGGAGUGGGUGCCAAAUAUGAAGGCGGCCAUACCUAUACCGACCCCACAUAUAGUAACACUUUUAAAAAGUGUCGGUAAUUUAGUUAGCACUUUUUUUGAUCUAUACUGAUAUUUAAAAGUGUCGCUAUAUACCUUUUUUGUUGUAGUGAAUAUAAAAGGGUAAAAAUUAAAUAUCAAGUUAUCUCAUAAACUAACCAAGACUAAUAUUGGAUGUGACCCACGUGAUUUAUUCAAGGCGAUCUAUAAAGAUACAGUCGGUCUAUUCAAGUCGAUUUAUAAAGAUAUGGUAGAUCUAACGGUUAGGAUGUAUCUGGACAUGUCUUUAAUGGACGGACGUGGUUUAACAUCCUUAUACUAAGUUAUAUAUAAAUAUGUAACAUAUGGGAGUCCCGAUCUAAUUUUCUGUGAUGGCUCCAUCUCCGGGGAUAAGGGAAUUAGACUCCAAACGUCCCGUUUUCUUGUAGAUCGCAAACAAGAACGGACCACGAGCAAAAAAAUCGCGCCUACAAAUCGGGUAUAGAAAUCGAAAUCAUGGCAGAAGUUAUGAUCUUAGUUUCUAAUAAAGUUUCAACAAAGCGCUCUUUCUUUCUCUAGCCCACGGGGACAUAUAUUUCAACUGACCCACGUAAAUCUUGGUAUUCUUGGUUGUGCAAUUGUUGUGACUUCUCUAUACCUUCUAUUAUCGCUGGUAUGUUUGCUUUCGCUAUUUUUCAGCACUCGAUUGGAUUCUUUCCCAACACUUUCUACAAUGAUCGUAGUGCUGAUUUAUGUAGCUUGCCUACUAGAUUCACUCAUUACAUGAAAAAUUGUUGUGUCGACAAAGAAAAAUGAAGAUUGCAGUACGAGUUCCAAUCUUUGUACGAGAAAUCGCCGUCAUCGUAAAGUUCGUACCUUUAGCUCUACAAGGCAGGUUGGAUUGCAUUGAUUACCAGAUCUGGUAAAGGCAUAAAGAACUAAGGCUUUAAUGACCGUUCCUAAUUUUUCCACCUUGUCAGGUAAUGAAGCGGUUGUAAAGGUUAGCUACUACAAUCUAUAACUCUAUAUGAAUUCCCAAUAAAAUUGAUGACAUGGCAAGUUCUUCUUUUUUUAAAUUUUUUAAUUUUUUUUAUAUAUUUUAAUGGUGGUUCAUUCUUCUUUAUUCUUACAUUUAAUAUUCUUAAUAGUUAUAACUCCAUUAAUACUCACCUCUUAAUUACUCUUUAAUUUUAUUUAUAUCUCCUUUAAAUUUUUUAAUAGUGAAAUAUUUAAGACAUUAAUUAUAAAGGAAAAAAACUGUCUAAUUAUUGCCCAAGAAUAAUUGCUUCAGUUUUAUAUGUUUAUAUUUUUACUAUCUUAUUAUAUUUAAUUUAAUGUUGCUAAUGAUAGCUAUAUAUUACAUGCAUAUGUUUUUCUUUCCUAAUUAAUUAAAUAAAUACUAUACUUUAGAUAACAAAUUAAUAUGUGGUAGUAAAUAUAGCUUCUCUAAAUCCUAAAUCCUAAAAUCCCAACCUUUCCUCUCCCUCCGCACCCUCCCUCGCCACCGCCCCUCCGAUCGGUGGCGCCUCCUCUCCGCCGGCCCCGCCGCCGUCCACACGGCGGUGGCCAUCUAGAAGGAGACCUCGGAGAGAGCGGCAGGAGACCUUCCUCCGCAUGGCGGACCUCGCUACUGCCACGUCCGUGCGCGCCCGUUCAAGCGGAUGAUCCGCGAGACCUCGUGACGAGAUGUGCGCGCGCUCAAGGCCGUGGACGGGGCACCGGUUCAAGAGGAUGUCUGAUCGCGCCCAUUUGCAACAAUUUCGAACUCUUAUACGAGCCCACUCCUACCCUCGAUCACUCCUUUCUCGAAAGAAAGUAAGAACUCUAUAUAAGUUUUUUAAUUUAUCCGCCGCAUCGCGUGAAUUCCUACACUUAUAAAUUAUUACUAAACUGAAAAUAUAACUAAAAUAUCUCUAUUUCCGAUAUAGGGACAACUCAUUCUUUUUUAUACUAUUCAUAAAAAUGUAGGCAUGGAGUGGAGUUUAAUAUCUAAAUUUUUUCGACAGCUUUAUUUAUUUAUAAAGAAUCUAUCCGCUGCAACGCGCGGGUGCCUUCACUAGUGAUAGUUGAUACUUGUUAUUAACUUGUUAAGAAAGGUAUAGGUUACCUGUGGUUAAAUUAAUUUGUAUUGGUUCGGCUGUUCGUGUUCUUACUUUGUUUUUUUUUAAGGGUAUUUGCAUACACGUCCCUGCAAACAUAGUGAAUUGCGGAAAUAUCCCUGCAAAACGGAAACUCCAUAAGCUGUCCCUGCAAAAGUCCUAAUUUAUGCAGAAUGUCCCUCUGAUUAACAUCUGUUAGAGAACUGUUUUUUUUAACAGUUUUCAUGUGAAAUGACCAUUUUGCCCUCACAAAUAUAUCCCUCCAAAAGCAUCUUCCCCCUCUCUUUCUCUUCCUCUUCCUCUUUGGGGCCGCCGGAGCGGAUGGCGGCGACGGCGCGGGUCGAGCUCGCCGGCGACAAAGAAGAGGGAAGAGAAAGAAUGAGAGGAAGAAAAAAGGGAAGAGGAAGAAGUAGAGGAAGAGGGAGAGAAGCGGGAAGAGAAAGAUGAAGAGGAAAAGGGUUCGUAGCCGCGCGCCGCCGCCGCAUCUCCUCCCUCGCCGGCGACGAAGAAGAGGGAAGAGAAGAGGAAGAGAAAAGAAAAGGGAGAGGAAGAAGAAGAGGGAGAGGAGAGGGUUCGCCGCGCCGUCGCAUCUUCUCCCUCGCCAGCGAUGAAGAAGAGGGAAGAGGAAGAGGAGAGGAAGAAGAAGGGAGAAAAGGGAAGAGGAGAGGAAGAAGAGGAAAAGAAAGAGGAGAGGGUUUGCCGUCGCCGCCGUCGUCGCCGCCGUCGCUGCCGCCGCCGCCCUCGCCGCGACGAAGAAGAGGGAAAAGAAGAUGAGGAAGAAGAAGAAGGGUAGGAUCGUAAAUUUACCUUAUAAUUAACCAUGAUUAAGUACUUUAACGUGGUUAAUGAAAAUUUCUAAUAGUCCUUAACGGCAGGACAUAUCUGCAUAACUUUAACUUUUGCAGGGAUAACUUUGGAGUUUCGUUUUGCAGGGAUAUUUCCGCAAUUGACUAUGUUUGCAGGGACCUGUAUGCAUUUAACCUUUUUUUUAAAAUGGAUAAUAUUUAAUGCAUUCCUUAAAACUACAAAAACACAUAAUAUACUAUUAGUGGACCAUUAUGCCUAUAUUAAUUUCCAAUAAUUCCUUCAAAUAUACUCCAACCUUAGGGUUUACUAAUGGGUUGGGGUUUAGAAAGUAUUUAAGGAAUAGAGGGGUAAAUUUAAAAAUUUUGAAUAACAAUGAGAGGUAUAUAUAUAUAUAAUAUUAUAUAUAUAUAUAUAUAUAUAUAUAUAUAUAUAUAUAUAUAUAUAUAUAUAUAUAUAUAUAUUAUAUAUAUUAUAUAAUAUAUAAUAAUUAUGCUCUAUACUAUCAAUAGUACCAAGCCCUUGUACUAUUGAGUUUUUGGCCGUUGGAUGAAAGGAUGUGCAGUUAGAAUGAUAGUGAUCCCCUAGGGUUGAGUGGGUGGUUGGUUUAAUAGCAUAAUCUAACAGGUGUGAAAUGAUCACAGGGUAGAUCUAACGGUAGAAAACUCUAUAGUACCAAAGGCUUGGUACUAUCAAUAGUGUAAUAUAUAUAAUAUAUAAUAUAAUAUAUAUAUAUAUUAAUUAUAUAUAUAUAUAUAUAUAUAUAUAUAUAUUAUAUAUAUAUAUAUAUAAUAUAUAUAUAGUGGAGCUAGAAUACUUUUAGAAGUACCAGUGGGUGUGCUUUAGAGUUUUUAGCCAUUGGAUGGUGAGAUGUGAGGUUGAGAUGAUGGUGUAGGUGGUGGUAAGUGGUGGUAGGUGGAAUAGUGUUUGAUCCAAGGGAUAUUAUAAUUAUGAGUGAAUCCAAGGGCUAGAAACUUAAAAGCACCAAGUGGGUGGUGCAUCUAAGAAGAUCCUAGCUCAACUUCUCUCUCUCUCUCUUCUCUCUCUCAUCUCUCUCUCUCUCUUCUUAAUAAUAUAUAUAUAGUAGGUCUUGUGUGCUAUUCUCCGUGCUCCUAAGCCGUUUUUGAUGAUGGAGCUUCCAAAUUGACGAUUAGCUUCAUUAUACUUGAUCUAGCGUAUUUGAAGUAUUUAGGAAAUAAAUUUUACGAUUUUUCAAUAUCAUUUAUCUAGCGAUCGAAAGGGUUCAAAAUCAAUGGCUGAAAAUAAAAAUCCCACAAAAAGUGGUGAUAUAGCACUAAAAUUUUCGAUCAGAGAUAUUGAUCUUGCUGUAAAUAGUAUAAAGAAUUUUCUAUCAAAAUUUCAUCUGAUUUAAAUGCUUCUACACCGUUAAACUUGCAAACGGUAUACAUCAACUAUUAAAAAUUGUUGAUAUUAAACCCUUUCGAUCACUAGGUAAAUAAUAUCGAAAAAUCACAAAAUUUAUUUUCUAGAUACUUCAAAUACGCUAGAUCAAGUCUAACGGAGCCGAUCGUCGAUUCGGAAGCUCCAUCAUCGAAAACGGCUUAGGAGCACGGAGGCUUCCGUGCUCCUAAUAGCACACAAGACCUACUCUCUCUCUCUCUCUCUCUCUCUCUCUCUCUCUAUAUAUAUAUAUAUAUAUAUAUAUAUAUAUAUAUAUAUAUAUAUAUAUAUAUAUAUAAUUAACUAGGCUGGAAUAUUACUAAUAGUACGAAGUUAUUGGUGCUAUUAGUUUUUUAGCCAUUGGAUUUAGAAAUGUGCGGUUAGCAUGAUAUGAGUCUCUAGGGUUGAGUGGGUGGUUGGUUGAAUAGUAUAAUCUAACGGGUAAAAAUAAUCAAAGGGUUAAAUCUAAUAUAUAUAUAUAUAUAGGCUGGGACUACUAUACUUUUAUGAGUGUAAGCCUCCUUGUACUCAUAAAUUUUUAACCAUUGAUUGAUGGGAUGUGUGCAUGGUUCGGAUGAUGGUGGUCCCCACUUAGAAUGAUAGUGGAUCCCUAGGGUUGAGUGGGUAGUUGGUUUAAUAGUAUGAUCUAAUGGGUGGAAAUGAUCAAUUGAAUAAAUCUAAGGGUAAAAAACUUAUGAGUAUAAAAGAGCCGAUACUCAUAAAAGUAUAGUAGCCAUAUAUAUNNNNNNNNNNNNNUUCAAAUACUCUAGAUCAAGUUUAAUUGAGCCGAUUGUCGAUUCGAAAGUCCCAACAUCGAAAACGACUUGGAAGCACGGAGUGCUCCAUGCUUCCAAAAGCAGACCAGCUCACAAUAUAUAUAUAUAUAUAUAUAUAUUCCGGCUGGGAUACUAUCGAUAGCACGAAACAUUUGGUGCUAUCAAGUUUUGUCGUUAGAUUUAUCUCUUUUAUCAUUUUCAUCCAUUCGAUUAUACUAUUCAACUAAUCACCCACUCAAUCCUAGGGGUGAACAUCAUCGUAACCGCACAUCUUUUAAUGAAAGGGCAGAAAACUUAAUAGCACAAAGUUAUUAGUGCUAUUAAUAGUAUUCCUGCCUAGUUCUAUAUAUAUAUAUAUAUAUGGGUCAAAUGCAUACAGCUCCCUGCAAACAUAGCCAAUUGCGAAAAUAUCCCUGCAAAACGGAAACUCCAUAAGUUGUCCCUGCAAAAGUCCUAAGUUAUGCAGAUAUAUCCCUCCGGUUAACAUCCGUUAGUGAUCCGUUUAUUUUUUAACAGUGGAUUCGUGAAAUGACCAUUUUACCCUUACAAAUAUAUCCCUCCAAAAGUUUUCCUCUUCCCCUUCUCUUUCUCUUCCUCUUCGGACUGUCGAAGCAGACGACGGCGGUGGCGGUGGCGGCGCGGGGUCGGGUUCGCCGGCGACGAAGAAGAGGGAAGAACGCCAGGACACCGGAGCUCUACUUGGAGCUCGUCGCCCUCAACGCCGUCCCCUCCCUCGUCGGCCUUCUCGGCGCCGACAUCGCCGUCGACGUCGUCUCCCUCCUCACCGACCUCACCGACAUCGACAUCAUCGGCGACCACGACGACCCCGCGCACGCCCUCGUCGCUGCCCUCAUCGACAACAACGCCCUUGAGCUUCUCGUCCAGAAACUCGCCCACCUUUCCGAGGCCGACCCCGACGAGGUUCUUCUCCCUCGCCGGUGAUGAAGAAGAGGGAAGAGGAAGAGGAAGAAGGAAGAAGGAAGAAGAAGGGAAAAGAGGAAGAGGGAAGAGGAAAAGGAAGGGGGUUCGCCACCGUCCUCGCCGUCGCCGCCGCAUCUCCUCGCCGGCGACGAAGAAGAAGGAAGAGGAAGAGGAGGAAGAGGAAGAACGGUAAAUACGUCAAUUCACACUAUAAUUAACCAUGGUUAAGUAUUUUAACCGUGGUUAACGAAAAUUUUCUAGCAGAUCUGGACGGCAGGGACAUAUCUGCAUAACUUAGGACUUUUGCAGGGACAACUUAUGGAGUUUCCAAUUUGCAGGGAUAUAUCCGCAAUUCACUAUGUUUGCAGGGACGUGUAUGCAAAUAACCCCAUAUAUAUAGUCAUUGGUGCUAUUAGUAGUAUUCUGGAAUACUAUUAAUAGCACUAAUGAUUAUAUAUAUAGAGCUAGGCUGGAAUACUAUUGAUAGCAAAAGACUUUUUUUGCUAUCAAGAUUUUAGCCUUUGGAUGAGAAAUUGUAGGGUUAGGAUGAUAUUAAUCCCUUAGGGUUGAGUGGUACCCAUAAGGUUGAGUGGUCUCCACUGGGUUGUAAUAUUUAAUUCAAUAGGGUUAGGAUGAUAUUAAUCCCUUAGGGUUGAGUGGUCCCCAUAAGGUUGAGUGGUCGCCACUGAAUUUUUAGCCUUUGGAUCAAUUUUUUUCAUCAUUUCUAACUAUUGAAUUAAAUAUUACAACCCAGUGGAGACCACUCAACCCUAUGGACUAAUAUCAUUCUAACCCUACAAUUUCUCAUCCAAAAGUUAAAAACUUAAUAGCAAAAGAACUUUUUAUUAUCAAUAGUAUUCUAGCCUAGCUCUCUCUCUCUCUCUCUCUCUCACUAUAUAUAUAUAUAUAUAUAUAUAUAUAUAAAAGCAAAAGCCCUACUUGUGAAAAAACAGGCCCUUCAUUUGUUGGACUAGGAACUUCCUUGCUUUGAUCUUAUGGUAGCUUUUUUUAUGAGUAAAGCAAUUUCUGCCUACAUUGCUUCAACAUGUUCUAAUACUGUUCCAUUACUAUAUUUGCCUGUUUUAAUUGCAUAAAACUGAUAAUUGGUUGAAAUUAUAUAUAUCUUUAAAUUAUUUCGUCAAUAUGCGCCUUUCACUUUUUUUUUGAGAAAUAGAUAGCUAACUACCUGUUUUAUUCAUUAAGCAAACGAACUAAGUGUACAACAUGGAAGCAGUUUAGGCCUCCGAAAAAAAAAACAAACAGAACAUAAGAGAAGAUAAAAAAUAAAAAUAAAAACAGAAAACGUAAAAAGAGCGAGGAACAAAGAUGAUUAGAGGUGCUCGGACCACGCGCUCGUCAAAAAUUUGACCCAUUCGAUUGAUGGGGUAACGUUGUGUAGAUUCGCCUCAAAAAUUGUAAGCUAAUUUCACUUUAAAGUUAGAUUCUACAUACCAUAUUUUAAAACAAGCGUUUGUUUGGCCUUAUUUUCAUUUCUAUUUUUCAUUGCUGCAACCUCUUAGAGAGCAUUUGUACAUAGUUCUCAAUCAAAACAAACUUUUUUUUUUCUUUAAGCCAAUUUUAGUUUUUAAAUUCUUUCUAAAAAAUAAACUGUUGGCAUUCGGUUAAAUCGAAUUGGUGGCAUUCGGUUAAACCGAAUCGGGUGCGCCCAUGAUCGGGCUCGAUCCGACGGUUAUUAUGUUAUCUAAUUGGAUUGGGAUUAAUCUCGCUUUUAAAUUGGAAAGUUAAUUAGAGAUAAAUUCUAAUAUAAUAAUUAAUAACCAAUUUGACCUUAUCUCUUACGUUAUUAGGAUUUUGGAAUUUCUUAUAAAUAUACGGACGAUCCCACAUAAAAUCAUGAACGAAAAAAGAAAAAGAAGAAGAAAACAAAAGAGAGAAACGAAGAAACCACAUCCUCCAUCACUACAACAAAACUAACCUAUAGCGAUAAUUUUAAGUGUCCCUAAAAUCUAAAAAAAGUGUUGCUGGCAAAAAUACCGAUACUAAAAAUAGUGUCACUAUAUGUGCAGUCCCUAGGGUAUAUAGCGACACAUAAUAAAGUGUUGGUAUAUCCCAAAUAAGUACUGCAGUUUAGUGACACUUUUUUUUUUUCUUUUAGUGACACACAUAAGUGUCUCUAAUUUUUUUAAAAAAAGUAAUUAUUUUUUUAUAUAGUGACACUUUAUAAGUGUCCCAUUGUCAUUCAAUAUAUAAUAUUUUAUUUAAACAUCUAGUCUAGUAUUAAACUUUAAUUAAACUAAUCUCAUGUACAUUAAAUCGAUGAGACUAAAAAAAAAGCAAUCAACAAAGUUCCUUAAAUUUUCGUUAAAAUGAUAAAACUAAAAUCAAAUAUCCAUACGUCACACAACAAUAUCCACUCAUAUGUUGUAGUAAUUAUAACAAAUUAAACUCUCUAACUUUAAAAAAUACAAAAAAUCAAAAAUUGUUUGAUAACAAAAAUCAAAAAGUGCAUAAACGAAUUCUGAUCGGCCCCACGACUAUAUACUUGAACCUGCACAUUGAAAAACAUUUGAAUUAAUUCAAAUUUGUGCAACAUCUUUGAUUUGCCAAAGCAUUAAAAAAAAAGACUCUUGUUGAAAUUCUAUCACAUGCAUCUAUUAAAAUGUACACAAUUGUUGCAGAACUUGAACUAUAAUGGAGCUUUGAAAUAGACUUGUCAUUGUUUGUCGGCACCCUCCCAAUAUUUUUUCUUUCCCUUUUGAUUUGUGUUAUUUCUACCGAAUUGGUUGGGGGUUAAGUUAAACUUAACUAUCAGUUAACUACCUAAUACUAAUUGUCAACAAACCCCACAAUUUUGACAAACAGAACUUGUAAAGCCACUCAAAUUAAUCAAAUUACAAUUAAACCUAACAAACUCGCCACAAUUCAACACGCAAAGGAAACAAAUUAAUUGAAACAAAUGAAAGUUGCGGAGGAUGUGCGUACAUUCAGGAUAAUUACGGAUAUAUAUUGGGGGGAUGGCACAUUUCUAUGGAUUUGUUGAAUAAUAUUUAUGUAAUAUUCUAGAAUAACCUAGUUUGACCAGAAUAAUUAUAAGUUCUAACGAACGUCUUACAUAUUCUUUAGCUAUAAAAGGAUAAAUCCAAUUAUCCCUCUAUUGUCCCACCCAAACAAAUUUACAUCAUAAUCAAAUUAGUAUAUUAAGGAAAAAAGGCACAGAUCAAACUAACGAUAGCAACUCAAUGAAGUGAUUGUUCCAAUAGAACAUAUCGACCUACGUUAUCAUGGUGCUGGAGAAAUAGAUCAAACUAAUUGCAAACAAAAUCUAGAGAAAAGAAAUUACUUUUUCCCUACCUCAGUUAAUGCUGAAUGGAUACUUUCCCUCUAGGCAUCUAAGUGGCCACUUAAUCUCCUGCACAAAAGGAGAGAAACAUAAAUAGGCAAAUCAAGAUAAAAUAAAGGGAUUGAGAAAAAAAAAAGAAAAAAGAAAAAAGAAAAAAGUAAAGCACUUUGAAACUACCUUGGCUUGUCAGACUUGGCAAAAUGCUUGGACAUUAUAGAAGCCUGCAUGGUUAUUUAACAUACAUACCAGGUUACUCUCACAAGUUCCAUAUAAACUCGCACCAACUACCUUUUGUUACUAGGAAGGGAUUAAAAACUUGCACUAACUACUAAAGGAAUUUGAACGGUGGAUUUGCGAUCGUGCUCGUUUGUGGUUCGAUCCACCGCGAGUUCGGAGCGUUAGAAGACCUUCAAGGAUGAUCCAAGGACACAUGAAUCAACCUCUACGAUCCGGGCUCGUCGCGUUGUAGCGCGAAUCGCUUCCGCAAAAAGGUACGAACGAAUAGUUCCGCUGCGUUCUACAAAAACAAAACUAACUAGAUGGCCAAAGAGGGGAGUGAGCGGAAGAAGGGGCAGAGCAUCACCUCUUGGCUUCCCCAUUGCUGGUAACGAUCAGACUAGCUGCUGGAGGAGGCUACCUAAAGGAUCUUUCACGCAGAGAGUAGAGUUGCAGCGAGGGAAGGCCUCGACAGGGCGCGAGGAGAUGUUGGUUCCCCCCCAAGAAUGAUCGCUGUAAUAAUGAUAGGGGUAUAGAAAAGGUGUUGGAGCCCGAAGUGGAGAGACGUUACCAAAGGCUUUUGGACUCCCUGCUUAGGAUCCAGGCUUUGAACUGUAGGGAGGAUAGGAGAGUUGGAGUUGGUGGAGUUAUUGCUAAGCAUAACUCCACAAGACUUGCUUUCCCUAUCCAGCUUGUUGAGGAGAAGAGUAGAGAAAUUAAUGACGUUCAUCAAACUGGUAUGGGUUCUGGUAGAUUCAGAGCUGUGAAGGCGAGAAAGGAGCUAUUGUCUUCAGGAAAGUUGCAUUUACACCAGCCUGUUGGAGGGGGGGAGGAAGUCCUAUAAAGAGGCUCUCCUAACCCCAGUCAAGCCGCAGAGGCAAACAAAUUCUAAACCUAGCUUCUCCAAGGAAGAUCUUAAGAGUGGUGUGAACGGAAAGUGUCGUAUUUUCUCCGGCAAGUGCUUCAGAUGCUUGACUUCCGACCAUAAAGUUAUCAACUGCCGAGACCCGCUCAGGUGCUUCCAUUGUCUCGGUACUGGCCACAGGGCUUCUCAAUGCAAGGCUAAGCCUCUUGAUCGCAGCGACAACAUGCUGAGAGCACACCGCGCACGAGGGCGCGUUCCGUCUCAACGUGUGGUUGUCCCUUACACAGAGGAUUACUACACUCGCAGAGAGCUACGUCAAAAUGCUAUUCUUGUUGAUAUCGUCUAGCCGGCGAACCUUGGUCACUCGCCGCAGCAGACGAUUGCCAACGCCUUGGCGAAUCGAUUCGGUGGUUACCCAACUGACUUUAUGGUGGCGCGACAUAGGGAGCACGACUUCGCGGUGUUCCUGCCGGAGUGGGUCUCAGCGGAGACUUAUAAGGAGGAGGGUUACUACUCUGGAGGGCUUUUGGAUUAACUGUUUCGAGUGGGGACAGUAUCGACUCACUACCCCCCACAGAUUCCCUUUCAAGGUGUGGAUAAAAUUGUUUAACCUCCCUUUCGAAAGUUGGUCGAUUCCUAGAGUGGCGGCAAUCGUCGGAGGCUUCGGGCGGUUCCUCCGGGCAGAUGAAAAUUCCAAAUCAAUGAUGGACCUAAGGGCAUACCGGUGUCAGAUCGCGGUUCAUGAGCUGACGGAUAUCCCGCAGAAUGUGUCAUUGAUUUUGGGGGACGAGUUAUUCCCCAUUAUGGUCACUGUCGAGAGCUGGGAGGAAGAUGAUAAUGGUCGGAGGCGAUGGAGGAUGGCUCGGAUCGAUGAUUCUGACCUUCCAUGCAUAGCUAUGCAUAGUACCCUUGCCUUGCCGAGUCUCGCACUGAAUGCUUCAUCAGUGUGCGUUACCAUGGAAAGCACGCGCGGCAAGCUAGAGAUUAAGCCUAAAUCCAUCUUUAACGCGCGCUCCUGGCAGACUUUGCUCCGUCGGACGGCACCGCCGGCAGGCAAUCGGUAGGCUCGAUCGCCGGACAAGUUGUGCCGAUCUCCCCUCUCGGGAUCUGCGCCGUCUCAGCCGCCCCAACGGCCAUCUACAGCACCCCCUUCGAGAAGGAAAUGAAAUGGAGCAGUUUGGCAGAUUCGAGACUUUCACUUGCUGGGGGCAUUUUUUAAACGAUGGGUUUCUCGAAAGACCAGGUUUACCCAUUUGUGUUAAGGCUUUCUCUGCUGAACCUUCAAAAAGGGUGGACCAUUUUAAAGAGGGUUCGUUUCCCAAGGUGCAUUUAUUUUUGAAGACUUGGCUGGAGCUUUCUCUCGUCUUUUCUGAUCACAGCUUGAGGGUGAUUUUUGGGGGCCCACUGUUUCCUACCCUUGGGUUCAGCAUUGUGGUGCCCACGGGGAUGCUCAGGUGGGGCCAGGAGUUUGACUUUAACUCUCAAGCAAUGACAGGGAAUGAAGUGAUGGACCCCCAAGAUGUCUUCAGCGCUGGUCACGAGAAUUUGAGUCGUGGGGGUCAAGUGAUUUCGCUGCCACCUAAAUGCGAUCCGGGAGUUCGCUUAGCUAGGCAUUCAAGCCCACGUUUUGCUAACAAAUCCUUGGGCUCUAUAACUCAAAAAGCCUUAACGAGAAAAAUGGUGCUCCGGGAAGGACUCGAGAGUGGUGGACUGAAGGGCCCACACACGUAUGGAAAAAAGAAAAUUGCGAAAAAAAGUAAACAGUGUGGUGUACUUCUUAGCGAGUUCGACGCACAAGUGUUCGAGGCCUUUCUGCAGGGCAGUGCCUGAGGCCACACCCCGUUUUCCCUUUUUGGAGUGUUCGUAGCUUGUUUUGCUCAGUUAUGUUUAGUAUCUAUAGUUGGAACGUUAGGGGUAUUGGUGAUCCGUGUAAAAGACGUGCUGUUAAAUGUAUGGUGUCUACCCUCAAGAAGGCGGUGGUUUGUUUGCAAGAAACAAAAAUUAGUUCCUGUUCUCUCUCUUUUUUGCGCAGUAUAUGUGGGUCUUUUUACGAUAAAUUUUAGUUGAUUGAAGCUGUUGGAGCAUCGGGUGGACUUUUGACUUGUUGGAGCUCGCGGGUAUUUUCUUGCGGUGAAGCUUAUUUAAAACAAUACUCCAUCACCAUCCGACUUACACUUACUCAGAGUGGUUCUAGUUUCUAUGUUACCAACGUUUACGGUCCUCCGACCUGGGAGGGAACGGAGGAGUUCUAUACUGAAUUGGCACGUCUUAAAGGCAUAUGCAAGGGUUGUUGGGUCUUAUGUGGGGAUUUUAAUUUCACUAGAGAAGCCAAUUGGAACGCAGAGGUAAAACUUGGAGUACUAGAGCUUCGAACAUGUUCAAUGACAUAAUCAAUUAUCUUGAGCUUUUGGACUUACCGAUGAAGAAUCAAGCUUUCAUGUGGUUGAAUAUGCAAAAUCAUCCUACCCUAGCUAAACUUGACCGUUUCCUCAUCUCAACCGAAUGGGACCAGCAAUUCCCAAUGUCAAAUGUGGAGGCAGUUCCUAGAAUUACUUCCGACUACUGUCCCAUUUUACUUUCAACUGGGGAUAAACCCAACGUAAGCUAUUCAGAUUGAAAGAGGUCUGGUUACGUAAUGAAGAUUUCAUCAAACGUAUCCCAGUGUGGUGGAGGGAAGUACAGCAUAACGACUCAGCACUUCACUCUCUUAAUGCUAAACUAAGACACUGUCGAAAGCAGAUCAAGAAAUGGUGCGCAUCAAAUUUCUAUAAUAUUUGAAAAUCUAAAUCUGAAAUUAUGCUUGAGAUACAGAAGAUCGACGAAUUAGAAGAGCAAAGCUUUUUGAUGGUAGAGUUACAAGAGAGACAGGAGACUCUCAAGACUCGUCUCUCUAUUGUCCUCAAAGAUGAAGAAGAGUUAUGGAAAUUACGUGCCAAGCAACAAUGGUUAAAGGACGGUGACGGAAAUACGAAGUUUUUCCAUGCGCUUGCUAACAACAAGAGGCGUUUUAAUGAAAUCGGGAAGAUUGUCGACGAGGGCAAUUAUUUUAUUAAGGAAGAAGAAAAGAUACACUACUUUUGGAGAAAAUUUAAGGAACUCUACACUCCGGAUUUUAAUGUACCAAACUCGGUUGGGGACUGGAGUGAACUUUUUCAAACCAGAAGGGUGGUCAACCCAAAUCUUUUAACCAUUCCCUUUGAUAUAGAGGAGAUCAAAACGGUGGUGUUCCAACUUGGAGGGGAUAAAGCGCCGGGACCCGAUGGCUUCCCUUUGAGUUUCUACCAGACCUUUUGGGAUGUCGUCAAAAAUGAUAUCUUAUUGAUCUUUCAAGAGCUUUAUGACGGACGACUCUCAACACGUGCCAUCGACUACCCUUACAUCUGCCUUAUCCCAAAAAAAGAAGGAGCGGCAAGGGCCAAUGACUUUAGACCGAUCAGUUUACUGAAUGGAAUCCAAAAAGUUAUCUCCAAAGUUUUAGCAAACCGUUUAGAAGGAGUAAUGCAAGACCUUAUCUCUACUUCACAAUCGGCUUUUUUGAAAGGGAGACUGUUGGCUGAUGCUUUUGUAACUUCUCACGAGCUUAUGACAUGGGGCUUUAAGGAGGGUGUGGAGGGGGUGGGGGUAAAAGUAGAUUUUGAGAAAGCAUAUGAUAAAGUCAACUGGUCUUUCCUCGGAAAGGUGUUAGAGUUACUGGGCUUUAAUGAUAAAUGGUGUGGUUGGGUCAAUGAAUGCGUGUGUAACUCUAAGUUGGCUGUCUUGGUCAAUGGUGUAGCAACCAAAUGGAUCAAAUCGAAAAGAAGACUACGUCAAGGCGACCCUUUAUCUCCCUACCUUUUUCUACUGGUGGUUGAGUGUCUUGCCAGAAUGUCUGAUAGGGCUGAGGAGUCCAACCUCAUUAAAGGUAUUGGACCAACGCAUGACAGCGUCGUAACAUUAAUACAGUACGCAGAUGAUACCUUAUUUUUUUGAGAGGCGAGGAAAAGUCAUAUGCGUAACCUCAAAUUUCUGUGGAUUCUUUUCGAGUGGGCUUCUGGGAUAAAGAUUAAUUAAGAGAAGUCUGAAUUAUUUUACAUGGGGAAUAAGAGUGGAAAGGACACUAGACUUACUGACAUCUUGCAAUGUAAAGUUGGAAUUUACCUGUUAAAUAUCUGGGACUGCCAUUAACCCCCAGAAAGCUUAGAAAAGAAGACUGAGCUAGUGUCAGCUAUAAUUUUCAAAGGAGAAUUGAUGGGUGGCAGGCUAAACUACUUUCUAGAGGCGGCAGGUUUACUUUGGUUAAUUCUGUCCUCUCUAACCUGCCGUUGCAUUUUUUCUCUAUUUUUAAAGCACUAAAAUGGGUUUUAAAGCGUCUGAAGGCUCUAAGGAGGGACUUCUUUUGGAAAGGACGAGCAAACUACUCAGGGGGAAGCUAUUUAGUUGCUUGGCGAAAGGUGUGUUGAGUCGGAAGGAAGGCUGCCUAGGUAUCAAGGAUUUGGCCACUAUGAAUGAUGCUUUACUAUCUAAAUGGUGGUGGCGUUUCCUGACCGAAAAAGGGCUUCCCUGGAUUAAACUGAUCAAGAGCUUUUACUAUAAAAGAAGACGACCGCUAGCUGAAGGACGGUUGUUGAAGCAUAAAAAAAGAGAGAGGAAUAAAAGAGGAAAAAGAAAGAAAAAGAAAAAAAAGGGAAGAGAAAGAAAUAAAAAAAAAGAGAGAUGGUUUAUGAGAUGAUCCAUGCACUAGGUGCAUGGAUAAAAAUUUAUGUUCAAAUUUUGAACGCGGAAAGUGGGACGUUCUCGUAGGUGCGAACGGAUAUAAAAAUAGCAUAUUAGUCCAUUCCCUUUCAUGUAUUUACAAAAUGCUCCGCUUUAAUCAUAUAAUAUUUUAUUAUUUUGACUAAAGUGUAAUAUGAGCAAAGAGAAAGGAUUAAUUCGCAAUAUUCCCACAAUCUCAUCGUAACCACCCAUCAUUCUACAAUCUCAUCGUAACCACCCAUCAUCCCACAAUCCCAUUACGAUAACCCACGAUUCCAUCAUCCCACGAUCCCCUAACCGCCCACGAUCCCAUAACCUCCCGCACAUCCAUGCGCACGUCUCCCUCAGGUUGGUUACAACCACCCCAUAAAUACCUUUCGAAAAAAAUCAAACAGAGAGCUUUUUGAACCUUCAAACCCAUUCUUAAAAAAAAAAUCCCAUCCCUGCCUACGAAAGAAAAAAAGAGAAAGGUAAAAAGAAAAAAAAAAUCUUUUCUCUUCUCCAUUAACGCCACAAUCAAACCUCUCUCUCUAUCCUCUCUCUCACUCUCUCUGUUGGUGAACUCGAUGCCGCCCCAUCGAUGCCGCCGCUGUAAAGCGGCGCCGCGCCGUUCGAAGCCGCUCGAAGCUGCGUCACCCUUGACCCACUCGAGCUUCCAUCCGGAAGCUCCUCGCGGCGCGCGCGCGUUCCCCCGCCGCGCGUCUCCUCCACUGCGGUCCCCCGUCGCCGGCGUAGACCCCCUCUUGUGCGGCCCCCAUCGAUCGAAGCCGCACGAGGUCGCUCAAAGCUCCCUCAUCACCGUCGAGCCGGCCUGUCACACCCCGAAAAUCUCGUUCCCCGGGCACGCCGACAAAUUCGCCGUAUACAAAGGAAUUUUUCCUGUAUACGAAGCGUCAAAGUACCAGUAGAAAUACGAUACUACAAACAGUAGCAUAGAGCUGCUCAAAAAACUAAAUAACUCUGCAGUUUCAUAUACAUAGCUAGAAUCCAACAAUACAAGGCUACUCGCACUAGGAGUUAAACAACUAUGUAACAAAACUCCAAAACAACAACUACUCUGCAGUAGGGGAAAAGCCUAAUAGCUCUGACUGUCGAGGUAGGCGCUCCUACUCGCAACUCCCUUCCUCGAUCGCUGGCGGCGGUAGGUGCAGCAGGCCGACACCUGUGCUCUUGCAAACACAAGUACAACUGGGCGUGAGAAGCUACUGUAAAAAUAGGUAAGUGCCUCAGUGGUACCUGGCCAACGACAUCAUCUCCCCGCCACUAAGUCUACAGAAGGAGGCAAAAGUAAGGAAAAGCAGGAUGUACACUCUAUAGCCGCUUAGCACCAUCUAUACUACCAGGCUUACGCUAACCAACUGUAGGAAAUGUCAAAUGCUGACCAAAUCCAAUCGGACUGUAAGGUCAUACCCUGUCCCGGACUGUGAUAUACAACCCUCCUGCCCGCUGGCGACUAUCGUCUAAAUCCACACUAACUUGGUCCGUGAGAAGCAAAGUUCCAACUGGCAUCGAGCGCACCAGCCAAAGCACACAAGCCGGACUCCGAGUGGCACUCGUGGGCACCCUACCCAACCGCAGUAUGCAGCGUAUCUCUGGUCGAGGCUCAUCGGCUCCAAACUAGCGCAAAGUCAGAAUAGUCUUGACUUCAAACUGUUCUAACCAACCAAACUAGAGUAAGCGUGCCCUCCAGCACAAUCUAACCCAAAAGGCGAUACGGGUGCCACCGUCAACAUCUAACGGGCAAGCCCAACAGCCCGAAACAACCUGAACGACCUCUGUAAAAAAUCCCACUCGUCGAAAACAGCACGAGUUAAAUAACCAUCUAAACUACCUGGAGUACUCGUCUCGAAGGAAACGGGCGACAGUACCAAUUUCUAAGGCUCCUAAGCUAACUCAGGUAUUAAUAACUGGUGAACAGUCCAGAAUCGUAGGUUGCUCCGUAUAGCUCAAAUCAAGUCCAACAAGUAUAAUUAUCAUCACUCACUAAGCAUGCUCCAAUUCAGGUUUUAAUAUAUCUAAACUACUAUGAAUUUUGAGCUUACCUUCAUUUAUGUUCACGAACAAAGCAAACAAGUCGAAAUAAUAUGUACUCUAGAGGCAAAAACCGGAUGAAUCCCCACCUCAUCAAGCAACUCCUGGCAGCGAAGAAAGUGGCCGCGAAUUGCCAAAAUGAAACCCUUGCUGUCCCGUACGAAUCGCCCGUUCUCCACUGUUGGCGAAGAGUAACCCCAAUUACAACUCGGAAUUCAAAUUCACAAAAUCUGCCCAGAAAACACAGCCGAAGAAAGCGUAAAUUCGAGCAAUAACUAUCCAAAUUCAGCAAACCAGGAGGGUUCUGAAGCUUCGUCUAAAGUCACAGAAUCGCAAUGUGUCCAGGUUCGCUGAAAUUCCGACGCUUCCCUACUCAGAGACGGCCAGAAAGAUCGAAACGUCGACGAAUGGAACUGCCUGGCGGAAAACAGCAUCUCUGAAUCUGCUGCAAAGCAGCAGCCUAGUAAAACUAGGUUCGACAGGCAAAGCGCUGCUCAAAAAAAAUCAGCGAUCUUGGCUCAAAUCUUCGUCUCGAAGUCGGGCGAAUCUAUGGCACGCCAAGAUUUCGUCGGGCGUUUCGACGAGUUCCUACACAGAGAACGUUAGGUAACACGUGGUCAAUGUCUGGAUCAUCAGGCAUCAAGCACUUCAGAGUCGCUGCGCGAAACCAACUCAAGUAGAAAGGAUUUCGACAGAGCAAACCUCUACCAAAGUGGGCGAGUAAGGUUCCUAAGAUUCGUCCUCGAAGUCUGCGGUUGCCAAACGAAUCAAGUUCGCGUCACGUUCUGAUGCUUGCCUGCGGCGGAAAAUGAGCCGGAAACACCGACAGGUCAUCACUGAAAUUCUGCGAAAACAGCGACAAUGCUGCGACUUCAUGGAGGCCUUGUAAGUAGAUGAAAAAAUCCAUGGAACGAAAGAGAGCAUACCACCCUCUAACAGCGACUCCAAUUGCCGGCACGGCGUCGAGAAGCGGUGACUACGGAAACACUUCCCACCCGCCUCCUCGUGAAACUACUGGCGAUGCUCGUAGCUCGACGCUCCGCUGGGCGUGACGUCGGAACACAAGAAGCUUCCAACACGAGCUCCUCCCUUGCUCGCCAACCCGCUAAGAGAGAGAGCAGAACAAUGGAAAGUUAAUUAAGGAGGUGGUGGUGGUGCAUCCUCGUUAAAUCACAGCAUGGGGAGAGGGAGGCCACGUGGCAUACUAAUAUAUAAUAUAUAUAUAUAUAUUAUAAUAGUAUAUAUAUAUAUAUAGAUAAUACAUUCUCACUCCCACUACAAAAAGUUUCGUCCUGCAAACUGAAAUGUCCCUUCUGCUUAGCAUCGAACAAGUUAUGGAUAAGUCCCCUCUCACCGCUCAGGCUCACAAGUCGCUCAUCCGCGUCAUCAGGAUUACUUCAACUGCAUUUCACAUACGGGAUGACCCGGUUGCGCAGAUUUUUGCGUCUCCGAGCAAAGAAUCCGCAACGUCGCUCCUUGUAUCUCAGAUCCGUCGCCAAUCUGCAAGUGAGUAAAGUCAAUCACAAUGAGAGGGAUCGAAAACGUAUCAUACUCUAUGCUAGAGACGUGGAAAACAUCGUGGAUGCCAGCAAAGUCGCGGGGGUAGAGCUAUCCGCUAUGCAACCGGUCCGAUACGCUCAAUACACUCGAAGGCCCAACAAACCGCUGACAAUAAGCUUUCCCACGUACCCAAAAUCGGCCGUAUCCCUCUGGAUGCUGAGACUUUUGAACGAAAAACAUGAUGCUCCAACCUGAAAACUCAUAGUCUCGGUCUCUUGGUAUCGGUAAGCUCCUACUGUCGGCUUCUGUGCUGUCAAAUAGUGUCGUCGAACGACUUCUCACAUUUUCGUCAGCCUCAAAAGUAGAAUCUCUGGUCCCAAGUUCCUCCGCUGCACCGCCACACACCCAAAUCAGGAGGAGUCGAUCAUUCGUGCGUCCAUACAACGCCUCAAACGGAUCCAUCUGGAGCCGUUGAGUAGCUAUUGUUGUACGUGCAAACUCAACUAGUCUCAAAUGCUAUACCACCCUCCUCCAAAGUCCAGGUACACAAGCCCCCAGCAUGUCCUACUAGAGUCUGUAAUGGUCGCCGCUCUGACUGACCAUCUGUCUUAGGUGGAACGCUGGCUGUAAAUGUAGUUGUUACGCCAAGGCUGUCUGAAGACUCCUCAAACUGAUAUCAAACCUCGGUCUCUGUCUGAUACAAUCGACCGGCACGCCGUUCAGCGCUACACAUCUCAUCCAAGUUAAUAGCUUUACGCAUAGUCUCUCCCAUGGACCACGUAGUCUGAACCGGUGGUAAGUGAGCUAGACUUAGUCAGUCUGUCCACUAUCGACCCAAAUUGUGGCGUCGUAAGCACCGCUGUCGCUCUUAGCAAUCCAACGACCGAAGUCCAUAGCGUAUGUAAAAGCACUUUCCCAUUUUUCACUCGGACUGCAGACUCUGUAAGUUUGCCCAGCAGGCACCUGAUGGCCUCGGCCUUCACCUGUUGGCAAAGUCAACACUGAGUCAACAAAUCGCCAAUGUUCCGCUUCAUUCAGGCCACGAAAGACAGAAAUCGUGCUUAAGAUCCUUAUACAUCUUGGUUCCCCAGGCACCGUAUAAGGUGGAACAAUGAGGCCUCUUCAAGAUCCGCCCGAUCUCGAUCCAUAGGCACACACAGGUCGUCCGCUGUACGUAGUACUCCAACUGUCCAUUGAAAAACCUUCCAAGCUCUGCCCCGCUGUCCAGCUGCUCUCUAACCCUCAACAAGUAACGGUCCUCCACUCUGUUUUUCUAGAAUCCAUCCAACAGAAGUGGCAGUAGUAUUAGAGACUCAAGCCUCGGCCGUACGACCCCAGGGGUCACUUAUCUCGAGUCCCAGCCAAUGCUGGCAAGCUCCUCGAGUAGGGGUCUCUGCUCAGUAAUGCCUCAAACUCGGACUCUAGCCUUGACUUGCCUGCUCAACGCAUCUGCCAACCUAGGACAUUUUCGCCCUACCGGAUGAUACUGAAUACAAACGUUAUAGUCUCCAGUAACUUCAACCAACCUUGGGGGUGUUGGGCGCUCCUGUUCUCAGAUUCAGGCUCCCUCUGUGUGAACAAGAUACUUGGAGACUUUGAUAAUCCGGUGAAUUACCUACGCAGUGCUCGCCGUACAAGUAAUGCGCCAGAUGCUUCAAAGCAAAAACCACCGCGGCAUACUCCAAAUCAAUGUGUAGGGUGAUUCUUUUCAUAUCCUUUAACACGCCGUUAGCAAAAGCAAAUCACGCUCUACCAUGCUGCAUCAGCACGCAACCACAGUCCGCACUGUGCGAUGCAUCACUGAUAGGAUCACGAAAAUCAAUCCCCAUCACCGAAAUAGCAAGGGAUAGGAGCCGACUCAACCUUCAGUUCAACGACGUGCAAAGCUCCAUGCUGCAGUCCAUCGCUGCCAGACAAAACGAUAUGCCCUUCGCGCGUCAAGGCGUGUGAGGGGUGUGUGUAAAGCUUUCGCAAAAGCCUUCCACAAACCCGAUCGGUAUAUAUCUGCCAGUCCGCACAAGGAAGCUCCGUACCUCAGUCACGUCGUUCGUCUUGCCAAUCUACGAAUCUGCCUACAAUCUCUUCGGUCACUGCUUAGCCCGUCCGGCUCGAAAUCACUGGCCCAAAAAGCGACCUCCGGCCGUAACCGAACCCACAUCUCUUCAAGCUUGCCAUACAGCUUCUUCAUCUUCGCAGAAGCUGUUAGCACAAUCCUCAAGUGCUCUCAUGCUCCGCAUCUACUCCCGGAGUAUAUCAGAAUAUCGCGUCGAUGAAUGACUAACCUCACAAAUUUAUCCAAGAAGCGGGCUUGAACACUUCUGUAUCAAAUCAUGAAGCGGCAAGGGCGCAUUCGUCAAUCCCAAAAAGGCAUUUACUGUGAAAGCUCAUAAUGCCCGUACCGGAGUUCGAAAAGACCGUCUUGGAACAUCCCGGCCGGAAACCCACCCUCAGGCUGGUGGUAAAGACUGACUGAGAUCAUCUUCGAGAAACAUAGAAUCCCUUGCAGUUAUCAAACAAAUACAUCAAUGCGCGGAUCAAGGAUACUUUAUUCUUGAAUGGUCACUGGUUAAUUCAGCUCUCGAUAAUCCACAAUAACCUGAGCGAAACCAUCCUUCUUCUUUACAAAAUAGCAAACUGGCGCUCCCCAAGGCGACACACACUGGUCUCACAAACCCUUAUCCAUCAAAUCCUGAAGCUUGUGUGCCUUUAUGCUCUCAUCAGCUCUGCCGGGUGCCAUCCGAUUAAGGUACCUUUUGAGAUGUGCAGUUCCAGGAACCUAACAUCACACAAACUCAAUCUCCAUCUCCGGUCAGCAAACGUAGUCAAACUCAAGGGAAUACAAUCAGAAACUCGCCAGGACAUAUCUGGAUGUCCCCCUCAAAUCUCCGGCGCCGCUGUAGCGGUAUCUCCAGCAACAGUCGCUAAAAGCGUAUAACCCGCUACUGAGCAUCUGUCCGAGCCCUACGCCGAAGAUAUCCCUAGGUGGCCAAUAGCGUGCUCUCCCUGCAGCCUCUGAAAGUAACUCCUCCUGGGCCCUGGCUCGCCGGAAAGCGUCAGCCUGUCCUGCGGCGCUCCACAGUCGAUCGUAAGCGUAGUACCGCGCCAAGCCAAUCCAUACAGAGCACGACGUGAAGUCCCUGCAAGCUGCCUAGCUAACACCAACAGGACUGCGGGCAUGAGCCACGUAGUCCAACUGCAGACCGGACACGACCAACAACACUCCGCAACCUGUAAAAACAGGUGGUCCGGGAUCAUGCACAUCCGGUGCCUGUGACAAUGCCCCUAACUCGUAGACCGCAUGCAACAAUGCAAAUGCUCGGCUAAUAAAGGAAUGCGAUGCCGACCAGCUAUCCCAAAAAAAAAAAAAAGAGUGCGAACUCUAAUGUCCAGAAAUCAAGUGAUACCUGCCACCCGGACUGCGGCGGUCUGCUGUAAGUCCAUCUCACCUGACUGCAUAGACUCGACCACGGGUCGGGAGCCUGCUGUCUGACGCUCACCUGUACGCGGCAAUCUACGACCUAUCCCUCCAUGCGUAUACUCGUGGCUGCUCUGUAAGUCUCGGCUGAGUGCGGUGGAGCAUGCUGAGCAGAAUGAUGGUGCUGGAGAUGCGCUCUGGGAGCAAGCUGCCCUCAUGUGUCCGGCUGACCACGAUCGGUAGCACGCGGCCCUCCCUCUGCUCACACUGUCUGGGCCAGUGUGGUGCCUCCGCAGACAUCAACACACGCGGCGCCCUUCAGUCAGGCUGUCCCUGCUGACGGAGCUCGGAUCGCUGACGUCCCGAAAACUCCACGACCCUGAGAACGCAUCGGUGAGAGGUCUCCGGCGGAGCCUUGCUACUCGACUGGCCUCCGAUGUCUGGAGCUGGCGCUCCUGGUCCUGACUCUGAUGCCCGGCCGCCUUGAGCCCUUCUCUCGCAGUGACACCUCUCGCUCUCUCCUCCCAUAAGUGCCUGNNNNNNNNNNNNNNNNNNNNNNNNNNNNNNNNNNNNNNNNNNNNNNNNNNNNNNNNNNNNNNNNNNNNNNNNNNNNNNNNNNNNNNNNNNNNNNNNNNNNUCAGAUAAUUGAGUUAAGUAGCAAAAUCCUAUUAGACUCUUCCAUUCUGAAUCUUGUGAUGAUUUAUUGGAGCCCUUUUGAUUGAAUUUUGUGUAGAAUUAAGAGUUAGAAAUGAUUUCUAUUCAUUUAGGAGUCUGAUUUCCAACUGAUUUUCGAUAACGGCACAUUUCAUGUGUAGAAUGUCGCUCGAGCGGAAGCUCGAUUUAUAUCACAACCCGCGCCCGCACGUGUUAUUCGUAUAAGCUACCGAGGGACCAGGGCCUACAGACCUAGGCAAAGGGCAGCAGAGGCAACGAAUCCACCUUGCGACUCAGAACCGAUCAUUCAUAUUUCUUACAUUUGUCGAAUUAUUGGUCAUAGUUCGCCAAAAUUGGCAAAACUAAUCCCUAUGUCCAUAUUAUAUUAUCUAACCUAUAAGAUAAACUACUGACAUAAUUAAAAUAAUAGUGGUAUUUUGACACUUACCUAUAGAAUAUAAUGAGACAUGUAUAUUUUUCAGUGUUAGUAUUAUGUGAUAUUGUCCUGGAGGCCAAUAGACAGUGGUAGAUAGUGUAAGAGUAUAAUUGUAUUUGAGACACUAUGGCAUUAUUAUUAUAAUUUGUUCGAUUAUCGUAUUUGACUACAGUCUGUAUGCUAUUUUGAGCUCGACAGUGAUACUAUAUUCAGUUGGGGUAUCACCCACGAAUUCCACUCUGAAGGUUAGAUUAUGAGGUAUUGUUAUGGCAUGGACCAGACAGUAGCCUGCAUCAUAGUGGACCACUAUAGGUGGGUGUUGGACAUGAGGCGGCACAGGUUAGACCUGAUUGUUGAGGCGGUCACCAUAAUUGGGUAUUAUUGUAUUACUUUAUUCAGUAUCUAAUUGAUGCGGGGGAUAUAAUUUUAGUUAUAUUGUAGAGGCAUGAUAGGAGUAAUUAUUUUCAGCAGUUAUUUAUAUCUUACCUAUUUAUUAAUGCUGCUUAGUUAUUUAUUAUUUCUGCCUCUUAUAGACCUUGUGGUGUAAACCAUCAACAUUGUCAACCAUACCCACCGGGCACUAUUGAUUUUAAUUCUCACGCUCUUAUUAUUAUUGUUUUAUAUCAGAGCCUUCAGCACCAGCGACUGAUCGAAAUAAGGAGAUAGCGGAUAGCUAGCAUCUCAUACUCUUUCUUGUUAUGUAGUUGGAUCACCUAUCAGUGUAUAUAGUAGUCUGUACGAUGUUUUGAGACUUGGAGUGGCCAAAGAUGUUGUACCAUUUUGAGGAUUGGUGCAGUGAUAGUUGUAUAUUUACAGUGUUGCUAUACUAUAUAGUUUUUAUUCUACUCUGAUAUCUGUUGAUGUUAAAUUUUACUAAACUUUUUUGGUUGUUGAUGCUUUGUGUGUAUAGGGUGUAUCCUUAUGCAUACGGUUUGUCUGUUGAUGUAACUCGGGCUUCCACUGUAAUCCAGGACGUGACAUAUUAAGUUGGUAUUAGAGCCUAGAAUUUGUGGCAUAGAAAACUUUAGGCUGGACAGACCUCGAAGAUAUAGGACAAGAGAGACGUGAUUUGUGACGAAAGUCAUUAGAUUGAAUUAUGCAAACUCUUCUUAGAGGGUUGAAGAGUGAUCGAAUGAGAUAUGUCUUUUCCUUUUGGAUGAUUAUGUUGGCUGCAGACAGUUUAAUAACACAGAGGAAAAAGGAUGUCUUUCUAGACUUUCGCUUGAUUAUGUCGAGUUGCGAGAUCUAGUAUGACUGACCUAUAUUUUGAUUUCAGGUGAUCAUGAUGGAGUAGCGAUCACAGUCACCUACAAGAUCUACCCCAGUACAACAAGAGAAGCAGGGUCAAGGUGGUUCUAGUGUGAUACAGGAGCUUCGAGAGAGGUUGGAAUGAUAGGGAUGAUGGAGAGAUUAUGUGAGUUAUUGGCAUAACAAGUCAGUGCUUCACAGUAGAGGCUAGUAUAGGAUGCUCCACCAUUAGGUGUUCUAGUAGAUGUUCCUAGAGCAAUGGUAUCUUCAACAGGGACUAUUACAGAGAUACUGAGAUUGAUUAGGGUGAUGACAGAGUGUAGUCAAGAAGUAUCAGAGCAGAGUAGGAGAGGGCACGUGCGAGAUUGGCUAAGUUUAUGAGAUUUGAUCCACACAGGUUCAAUAGUGAAAGUAUAGAGCUGUGGGUGGCAGAGGCUUGGGUAAGAGAUUUAAAAAAGCUUUUUGAGAUCUGUACAUUCCAAAGAGGGAUAUAGUACACUUGAAAAUACAUUGUCUUGCGAAAAAUGCUCAUGUCUGGCGGUUGAGGGCCUGUGAAUAUAGCUCUGAGAGUCUGACUUAGGAAGAGUUUCAAGGGAUGUUUUAUGGGACCUACUUUCCUGACAGUGUAAAGGAAAAACUUGAAGAUAAUCUAAAUAAGAUAAGACAGGGAGAUCAGUCUGUACAGGAGUAUACAAGGAAGUUUGUUCGGAUCCUAAACUGUGUACCCUUUGCAGCAUGGGACGAGCGACAUAAGACAUUUAUUUGAGAGGAGGUUGCGACCAAAACCUUAUCAGUCAGUACAGCCACAGCAUCUCCGGAUUUUAGAUUUGGUGAUUGAUAUGGCUUUAUAGGUUGAGAGGGAAGCGACAGUGAUGAAGGAGUAAACAGAGAUAUGGGAAAAGGAGAAAGAGGAGAAGAAACCAAUAGAGAAUAGUGGGGAGCAACCUAAUUCGAGGAGACCGACAAAGUAUUCACGAUUUCGGUCUAGGGUCGUGGGUCCUUUGUGGGAUGGAGGUUUAGGGGACAGCAACAGCAGCAGCAAUGAUAAUGAGAGAUAUGUGUGAUUUGUGGUAGGCCAUACUUACCUCAUAUGUAUGCUUAACGAGCUUGCAAAUGUCUUCGUUGUCGGCAGGUGGACAUGUUUGGGCAGCGUGUCCCCGUGGUACCACUUCGGCCCCAUUGUUAGCUUCUUCCCCUUCUACCUCAAGACAGACAUCAGAAGCCCCAGUAGCAUAUAUUCCUGUUGAUCGAGCUUUAACCCGAAACUCAACUAUAAGGCUGUCCCAAGUGCCGAGUAGGCGUGUCUACGUUGCACGGGUGGAGGUUGCAUCAGCAACCGACAAACUGGUUGCAUGUAUUAUUUUGAUUAAAGCAUUAAAACUCGAGUAUUAUUUGAUACUGCUAUAUCUCAUUCUUUUAUUAGUCAAGUAUUCACAUUAUUUCAUAGUUCAAAGAUAGAGACAUUACAAUAUGUACAUGAGGUUCUUAUUUCUGAUCAUAUUUUGCAUGUGGGAGAGUGUUGCAUAUGGUGUACAGUGUAGUUAGGGCUGUGAAUUAUGCCGGUAGAAAUAUUGACCGUGAGAUAGUUGCAGGACUUUGACGUUGCAUUAGGGAUGGAUUGGUUUACUCACUAUUAUGCGAUGAUUGAUUGUAGGGAUAGGACAGUGAUAUUUCACAAGCUGGGUCAGGAGGAGUAUGUGUAUAGGGUUGUUAGAGUACUUUAUUUGUUACGAUGAUUUCUACAUCAAAGGCAAAAUAGUUAAUGAACCGUGGAUGUGCAACCCUUUUGGCAGCAGUAUGGAAGUCCCUACGGCGCCACCAGUACUCAAGGACAUUCCUAUAGUCCAAGAGUUUCCAGAUGUGUUCCCCUCUGCAUUGUCUAGCAUGCCGCUAUAUAGGAAAAUUGAGUUUGUUAUUGACAUAAUCCUAAGAACUGCGCCAAUCUCAAAGACACCUUAAAGGAUGACUGACAAAAUUGCUAGAAUUGAAAGCACAACUACAUGAUUUGUUGGAAAAAGAAUUUAUUCAACCCAGUGUGUCACAUUGGGGAGCGUCAAUAUUAUUUGUGAAGAAGAAAGAUGGGUCACUGAGAUUAUUUAUAGAUUAUCAAGAAUUAAACAAGAUGACUAUUAAGAACAAGUAUCCAUUAUCGCGCAUUGAUGAUAUAUUUAAUCAACUACAGGGGCCUUGUGUGCACUCCAAGAUAAAUUUAUAGUUAGAGUAUCAUCAAUUGAAAUUAAUUUGAGAAUAUUUUCAAGACGGCAUUUAGAACACAAUAUGGGUCUAUUAUGAAUUUACAGUAAUGUUAUUUGGAUUAACAAAUACUCCAGCCACGUUUAUGGAUAUGAUGAAUCGGGUAUUUCAGCCACCCUUGGAUAGGUUUGUGAUAAUGUUUAUUGAUGAUAUCUUGAUAUACUCUCGAAAUAUAGGUAAACAUUAGAAGCAUUUGAAAUUAUAUUACAGAUUUUGGGAGAGAAGAAACUUUAUGUCAAACUAAAGAAGUGUGACUUCUGGCUACGAAAAAUUGCUUUUCGUGGGUAUGUGAUUUCAGCUACUGGGAUUGUUGUUGACCCAAAGUAAAUUUAAGCAAUUUGAGAUUGGCCUACCGAUGAGUGUUUCUGAGGUGCAGAAUUAUUUGGGAUUGCCUGGUUAUUAUCAUCAAUUUGUGAAAGAUUUUGCAAAACUUUUCACACCCCUCAUUCAACUUAUUCAAAAAGAAAUUAAUUAUAUUUAGAGUUAGGAUUGCCAAAGGAGCUUUGAAAAAUUGAAAAGUAGAUUCAUGCCAGCUUCUAUCCUUGCCCUUUUCAUUAUCGAUGAGGGAUUUGUGAUUUAUAGUGAGGCAUCACGGAGUGGAUUGGGUUGUGUAUUGAGUAGAAUGAUAAGAUAAUUGCCUAUGUGAUGCAGGACGGGUCAAACCUAUAAGAGGAACUCAGAUCCAACAAAAUAUUAAAACUCUGGACCUCGCCAGAACCGGAAAACCCUCCGGAAAAAAACUUUCACCAAAAAAUCUUUGCAAGAAAGGUUCAAAAUUUUUAUUCAAUACUCAUCGUCCCUUUUCGUAAAACCUUGUAGGUUAUUUAUAUCCUAAUUACAUCCGAGAAUAACCGAAAAAAUCUCAACUAGAGAUUUAUCUAAAAGGAAAAUAACCAAAAAAAAUCUUAACUAGAGAUUUAUCUAAAAGAAAAAUAUAACAAAUAUUCCUAAUAAGAAAAUCUUAAAAUAACAGAGUAAAUCAAGAAUAAUCUUCAAAUCCAUAUAGCGGGUUCGAGUGUCAACUUGCGCCGCCUUCGUUGAUAGACCUGGAACUCGGACGAUGAUACAGGUCUGGUUCGGUCUGCAUCACGGCCUGCAUCACUAUGCUUCUAGACAGUUGAAAGAAUAUGAAAAAAAUUAUCCUACUCAUCAUUUGGAGUUAGCUGUCGUGAUUUUUGCAUUAAAACUUUAGCACCAUUAACUUUAUAAACAAUACUGUGAAAUCUUCCUCGAUUACAAAAGACUCAAGUAUUUGUUCUCUCAAAAAAAGUUGAAUUUGAGACAACGCCAAUGUUUAGAAUUACUGAAGGGUUAUAAUAUAACAAUACUUUAUCACCCCGAUAAAGCUAACUAGUGGCAGAUGCAUUAAGCUGUAAAUCAGUGCAUCACGAGACAGGCGCCAUUGUUAGAGGAGAUAAGGCGACUUGAGCUUGAGGUUGUAUCCCUUGGGGUCUCUGCGAGACUUGUAUCUUUGGCCUUACAACCCACUCUGAUAGAUAGAAUCAGGGAGAGACAUAAUGAGGACCAACACCUGACGAGGAUUUGAACUGCUAUUGAGAGUGGUCAAGCAUGGGAGUUUAGUGUUGAUGCUUUGGGAGUUCUUUGGUUUUAGGAUCGGUUAUGUGUACCAGUAGAUUCAGCACUCUGUGAGGAGAUUUUGAGAGAGGCUCACAGUUCUCCUUGUACCGUUCAUCUUGGAGGAAUUAAGAUGUAGAAAGAUUUAAAGGCAUACUACUGGUAGACAGGAAUGAAGAGGAUAUUGGAAGAUUCGUGGCUUAGUUUUUAACUUGUCAGCAAGUAAAAGUAAAGCAUCGACUUUCUUCUGGCAAGCUUCAAAAUCUUUCAAUCCUUGUCUGGAAAUGGGAUAUGAUCACUUUGGACUUCGUUGUUGGACUACUAUGAUCUCAGGGCGGACAUGAUGCGAUCUGGAUGAUAAUAGACAAAUUGACUAAAUCUGCUCACUUCAUACUAGUUCAAGUGACAUGGUCUAGAGAGAAACUUGCUCAGAUAUGUUUGGAUGAGAUUGUCAGACUGCAUGGAGUUUCUACUUCUAUAUGUUAGAUCGAGACUUGAUGUUUGUAAUACAUUUCUGGAGAGUUUUACAGACAGCUUUGGGGACUCAAUUAUAGUUUAAUAUAGCUUUUCACCCACAGACUGAUGGAUAGUCAAAGAGGACGAUUGUGUCCUCCAGUAGGUGUUGGAUGGUAUCGACAUUUGAUAAUGGUGGAGUUUUCAUAAAAUAAUAGUUAUCAAACAAGUAUCAGAAUGGCUCCGUUUGAAGCAUUAUUUAGAAGAAAAUAUCGGUCACCACUAUAUUAGAGUGAAGUAGGUGAGAGAAAAAUCCUAGGACCAGAUAUUUUAGUGAAAGCAUAAGAAAAAGUCAGAAUUGUCCAUUGCAGACCACCCAGAGUCGACAGAAGAGCUAUGUUAACACAAGACGUCGAGACUUAGAGUUUCAGAUUGGAGAUCAUAUAUUUCUCAAGGUCUCGCCAUCCAAGGGGAUGAAGAGGUUUGAAAUGCCCGAAAAGCUUAGUCUAUGAUUAGGCCUUUUGAGAUAUUAGAGUGACUAGACCUAUUGCACAUUGGUUAGCUUUGUCGCCUGAGAAUGCGAUACAAGAAUCUUAUCUCUGUCCAUUUGAGGAACCAACUUGAGGAAUAUUUUAAGCUUUGAGGAUGAAACUUUUUAAAAGGGGGAGGAUGUGAUAUACUGAACCUUAGCAAAUAAGAAAAGUUGCACUAUGGAUUGUUAGUCAGUAUUUUUUUUCUUUAUAGUGUUUAACUGAGUUGGAGAAAUUUUGGCAUGAAAUGAACGCGAAAAUGGACUUAGGAACUCAAGAUUUAGCCUAUGGUGGACUAAAGUUAGAAUACUUAAAUUGUGAGGGAUAUGUUAGCAUUUUGUACAAUAGGUAAUGUGUUCCAACUAGGCAUCUGGCAACUUAUGCAUGUCACUCGUUCACUUGCAAGCAUUCAAGAGAAAGAGGGAGUACGGUUAUGAAAGGAGAAGAAGCAAGAUAGGGUUUUCGCAACGAGCCAACCUAGCAUGCGCACGUGUGAUUUUUUUUCCUUGACAUUUCGAUAUCGGAGUUAGUAUUAUAAUAUUAUUAUUUUCUCGUUUGGACUCUUUUGAUAAAUUUUUGUAGAUAUUGAGAGUUAUAAACCGAUUGUUAUGCGUUUUAGGAGCCGAUUUUGUGUGAUUUUCAAUAAGAGAUUUUUCGAGCUGCUCGAGGGUGUUGUGGCUACCAUACGGACUAAGAGAGCAGCAACAAAUCACCUCGCUACUCCGACGAUCAUUCUACUCCUUGGAUUUGGGAUAUAGGUGGAUACCGUGUUAUCAAAAUUGGUGGACUAACUCCAAUAUUCAUAUUAUGUUAUUUAGUCUAUGAGAUGAACUGUUGACAUAGUUAAUAUAAUAGUGAUAUUUUGACACCUAGCUAUAGAAUAUAUUAAGACAUACAUAUUUUUCACUAUUAGUAAUAUGUGAUGUUGCCUUGGAGGCCAAUAGACAGUGGUAGAUAGUGUGAGACUAUAACUGUAUUUGGGACACUAUGGCAUAUUAUUAUAAUCUGUUUGAUUAUCAUAUUUAAUUAUAGCAUGCAUGCAUGCUAUUUUGAGCUCGACAGUGAUACUAUAUUCGGUUAGCCCCGUGAGUGCCACUCCGGAGAUUAGGCUAUGAGAUAUUGACAGUAGCCUGUGUGGUAGCGGACUACUAUAGGUGGGUGCUGGACACAAGGUGGCACAAAUUAGACCUGAUUAUUAAGUCGGUCACUAUAAUUAGAUAUUAUUUCAUUACUUUAUUCAUUAUUUAAUUGAUGAAUGGAUACAUGAUUUAAGGUUUCAGUUAUAUUGUAGAAAUAUGAUAGCAAUAGUUAUUUUCAGCAAUUAUUCAUAUAUUACCUAUUUAUUCAUAUUGCUCAGUUAUUUACUAUUUUUACCUCUUAUAAACCCAGUGGUGUAGACCGUUGGCAUUUCGACCGUACUCAAUUGGGACUAUUGAUUAUAUUCUUACGCCCUCUUUAUUAUUAUUUUAUUUUAGAGCCUUCAAUACCAGCGACUGAUCGAGAUAAGGGGAUCGCGAAUAGCUAGCAUCUCGUACCCUUUCUUUUGAAUGUAGUUGGACUACCUAUCAGUGUAUAUAGCAACCUGUAUAAUAUUUUGAGAUUUGGAGUUACCGGAGAAGUUGUACCAUUUUGAGGAUUAACGUAGUGAUGAUCGUAUAUUUAGAGUAUUGCUAUACUACAUAAUUUUUUUUUCUACUCUGAUAUCUACUGUUGUUGGUUAUUAGUAAACUUCUUUCGGUAGGUUUUGUUGACACUUCGUGUGUAAAGUGUAUCCUUAUACAUGCGGUAGGCGGGUCUGUAGAUAUAAUCCGAGCUUCCGCUGUAAUUCGGGGCGUGACAUAUAAAUUGUGGAAUGCAAUUACAACUUUUUAUAAAAUGUGUUGCACAAAUAGUAUAUACAAUUAAUGUUUGAAAUUUUUAACGUUUGAAGUUUUUAUAAAAAAAUUAAAAUGUUGCAUGUUUUACAGAAUAUUGUAUUAUUAGAAAGUAUGUCGCAUAAUUUUAGUAUAGAUUACAUAAUUCGAAAAUGGUGCUGCACGAUUAUAAAAUUUGAAAUCUCUAGAGAAUCUAGCAUUAAAUAGUUUUUAUCCUUCUUGGAAAGCACACUAAAUUAUAAUUACAUAUACUUUUCUCGAGAAACAAGAAUUUGUAAUACCCUGAUCCUCUCGAUGGAACUGUGAUGAGAUAACUCCCGAGUUUCGCCAAGGGCCUGUUUGUUUGUACGGAAGUGGGGUGGAAGUGGGAAGGGGGAAGUAAUUUUUGGUGAAAACAGAUCACUUCCGUUGUUUGGCUCACCGUAAUUUUAUUACGCCAGAAAGUCUAGUUCACCCAAAAUAAUGAAAUUGACUUCCCCCUCCCAUGGGGCGAAGUCAAUUUCGGUGAGGUGAAAAGAGGCAAGAGUGGGAAUUAAUGUGUUAGGGUUACCCUCUUCUCUACCCUUUCCUCUCCCGAGUCCCAGACCCAACUCCAAAUAUAUUCAAUUAUGGAAGUAAUUAAAUUUUUUAUUUUGAUUGUAUGUCUAAAAUAUGAUCAAAUUUGGUUAGGUAAGUUUUAAUAUAUUUUUUGUUUAAUUUGUAUAUUUAGAAAAUGAUGAAAAAUGAAUUUGUUAAAUGUUAAUAAUUUUUUAACUUUAGAAUUUUAUUUGUUGUAUUAUUAUAAUUUAUAUGCAAACAAAUAAUCAAAUUUUUUAAAAUUUUAUUUUAUAAUCAUACAUAUAUAUAAUUAUAAACAUACAUAAUUAUAUUAAUUUUUAUUUAUUAUAAUUUAUUAUUCACUAAGUUACAAAAUAGACAAUGAUAUCACUUCGGAGGUAAGUAUACCGGAGGUGAAGAGCUACACUUUUUACGUCAUCUAUUUCCAACCAAACAAAUAACAGAACUCGCAGAACUGCACUUCCACAGUUAGAAACAAACAGCGAAAGUGAAUUAAUUUUCACCCCAACUCCACUUCAACCCAAAGUCCACUUCGACCCCAAGCCUACUUACGUUGAAACAAACAUGCCAAGUGGAAAUGAUGGUUUCUCUAAUUCAAGAGAGAUGAAAUAGAUCGUGGGGGGAGAAGAGACAAAAAAGAGAUAGAAGAGAAUGAGAUAGGGUAGGGAAGAGAGAGAAAAAAAAGAGAAGAAGAUCCGGGAAGAAGUAGUAAUUUCAUUCAUAUCCUUUACACUUUACUCCCUUACUAUUUAUAGUCACUCUCUGAGGACUACUAUGCAAAUAAUGAAAUACUAAGUAUACAAGGUAAAUGAAAUAACUAAAUGGGCCAGUGGGUCGUCAUUCCCAAAUGGGCUAGUGACUUAGGCCGCAAAGGAAGGCUAGUGGAAAAACCCCAUGCAACCCGCGGUCUAUUUCCCUGUCAGAUCGAAUAAUGGUCCCGACAACCCAACCCGUUAUUCGUUACUAACUACUCCAGAUCUUCUCUUCCCUCAAAUCUACUUUAUGACUUCGAUCGUCUCCUUCCUUGCCCUAGACACUUUGUCUACUCCAUCAUUACAAUCCCGCCUUCCUUUGAAAUGAUCCUUGGCCUCAAGGAUUAAAGUUGGAAAAUUGUGCCUUUAGCGACCAAUAGUCCUCCCAGGUGGGUCGUUCUUUCGGUAGGUGUCUCCAUUUCACCAAAACCUAGAUAACUGCUUUGUUCCCUUUUCGUACCAAGUGGCGAGAAGGAAUCUCUUCGGGUUCCGCUAGUAGGUUCUCUUCCUCGCCCGUUGGUGGAGCGGUGGCUGACAGCUGCUGGCCUUCAAGAGGGCUCUUCUUAAGCAAUAAGACAUGGAACACUAGAUGUACUCGAGAACCCUCCGGAAGCUUCAACUUGCACACCACCGACCCGACCCUCUCCAAGAUCUCGAAAGGUCCGAAAUAACAGGAGGAUAGUUUCAAGUUUCUCCUCUCUGCUAUGGAGCUUUGUCGAUAAGGUUGUAACUUUAGAAAAACCCAGUCUCUGACCUGUUAUUCUCGGUCCACCCUUCGCCAGUCAGCAAAUUGCGUCAUUCGGUUCUGUGCCUUGAGUAGGUUCUCCCGUAGAUCUUUAGUAUCUCUUUCUCUCUCCCUUCCCCACUUCUGUUCGUCCUGUAGGGUUCCUAGCUCCAAGUUUGCUACCAAGUAGUUGGGUGGUUCUCUUAUGUAUAGUGCCUGAUAUGGCGUUGUCCCUAAGGAGGUGUGGAAAUUUGUGUUAUACUACCAUUCGGCGUGUGAGAGCCAGCGGCGCCAUAUAUGUGGAUACUGGGAGCACAUGCAUCAUAAGUAUGUUUCCAAACAACGAUUGAGCCUCUCGAUUUGUCCGUCAGUCUAAGGGUGGUAUGCCGAACUCAUAUGUAGCUUUGUCCCCAACAUUUUAAAUAUUUCCUUCCACAACUCACUAGUGAAACCUUGCCCCUGUCCGAUAUGAUCUUCUCAGGUAGCCCGUGAAGCUUGUAGAUAGUGUCGAAGAACACUUUGGUCACCUAUGCAACAGUGUAAAGAUGGCUCAGGGAAUGAUGUGUCCAUACUUAAAGAAUCGAUCAACAACCACCAAUAUGGAACUUUUACCCUCCGACUUCGGUAGGCCCUCUAUGAAAUCCAUGCUGACCUCUUGCCAAAGUUGGUGCGAAAUUGGCAAUGGUUGUAACAAUCUAGCGUAGGGUUGAUUGUCAUUCUUACUUUGGAUGCACAUAACACAGUUUCUCACCAUCCUCUCCACGUCUUUUUUUUAAACUUGGCCUAUAAAAUGUCUGUUUGAUCCUCUUUUAAGUACCCUGUUGUCUUGAGUGGCCCCCUAAGGCAGAGUUAUGCAUCUGGGUAAGUACUCUUUGCCUUAGAUCCCCUCCUUCUCCUAUGUACAACCUCCCUUUGUAGCGUAACAUGCCUUGCACUAGGGAAUAAGGUGCUGAGCCAUUGGGUUGCGGUGUCAGCUGGGCUAUCAAUUUCUAGCAGUUGUCAUCUCCCUUAUAGCUUGUGAGGACCUCGGUUGCCCACUUUGGAAUGACAGCGGAAGUAGCUUAGUUGCUCUCUUCCGUCAAAUGUGCCACUACAUUCCAAUCAAAUGCAUUUUUCUUCAACAAUUCCGUCAGAGGUUUGCUAAUAGUCCUGUACCUUUGGAUAAAUCUUCGGUAAUACCCGGUCAAUCCUUGAUGAUAAGCUUGUUUAGUUGUUGAUAAUCUACAAAAAACCCCCAACUUCCGUCAUUCUUCUUGACUAACAAGACCAGGGAGGCAUAGGGGCUGUUGCUUGGUUGAAUCGCUGAGGUGGCUAGCAUUUCCUUGAUCAAUUUUUCCAUCUUGUUUUCUGUUCAUAACUAUAUCGAUGGGCCUGAUGUUGAUUGGUUGUGUGCCUACUUGCAGGGGUAUUCGGUGAUCUUGCAACCUGGCUAGGGGUAGCCCUUGUGGCUCUCGAAAUACGUCUCCUAAUUUCUUCAAGACCACUUGGAAUCUUCUCAUGAAUGUUUAGCUAUUUAUCCCCUUCCAUGCUUGACAAUUGAGCUAUUGCACAGCAGCUACCUUCCAGGUACUCUUGCUACCACUGCUUAGCUGUUAUACCUCUAAUCCUUGCAUUCUCGACUAUUCCUUUGAGUUCCACUCUCAUUUUUUUCCUUUUUGAUUGUCACCGCAUGUUGAUUGUAAUCAAAAGUAACUAGCCUAUAGACCUUUUGUCUGAUCGUUGGCGCUAAUCAUUAAUCCCAAAAACUCGAGCUAUUAGAAAUAUGCAACCAAUUCCCUUAAAGCAUAUGGAUACUGUACCCACGGGUCUCGAUUGUGAUUCAGCUUAACCAGCCUCACACCACUUCAAAUGGCUCGACCCAAUAUGGCCUCCCGCCACAUGAUAGGAUACUAACCCAUUUAAGCCAACAAUCCCCCCUCCGACACCUACACAAAUUCACAGCAUGCGGAAAUCAAACUCGUGACCACUGGCUCUGAUAGCACUUGUCGGAUCGUUGACGCUAACUAUUAAUCCCAAAAGCUCGAGCUAUUAGAAAUACAUAACCAAUUCACUUAAAGUGUACAGAUACAGCGCCCACAGGUCUCGAUUGUGACUUGGCUCAAUCAGCCUCACGCCACUUCGAACAUGACUCGGCCCACCCAGCCUCACGCCAUUUCGAACAUAACUCGGCCCAACAUGACCUCCCACUACAAGGCGGGAUGCUGACCCAUUUAAGCCAACACCUUCCGCCAGUCGAUGCCUAGUAUUAUGCUGGACCCUUCUAAUCGAAUUACUCUUAGAUCCGUAGUAUACUAGCUCUUCCCCUUGCAUCUUCCAAAAAAAUUCUGGGCAUCUUAAUUUACUUAAUACUUUUUAUCCAUUAACCACCGUCACCAAGAGUGGCGUAGCCGUUUGGAUGGUCGCUUUGGCUUGUUUUGCGGUGUUGAUGUCUAUGAAGUUGUGGGUGCUUCUUGUAUCAACUAAUGUGACUAGACUCUUCCCUUUAGCCGUGCCUUGUAUUUUUAUGGUCUUUUGUGGAUUCUCCUCACUUAGGGCAUGCACAGAUAAUCCGGUUCUUUUUCUUCUUCAGGCUCUGAUUCCCCUACUUCUGCGACUUCCUUCAGGCACUCAUCAUAUAUCUCUGAUACCUCGUUCGUAGCACUGAGGGUAUUCACUAUUUGUUGUUUACACUGAUGCCCAAAUGAGUAUUUUUCUCCACACCUAAAGCAUAACCCAACGACUCUCUGCUAUUCCCAUAAUUGUCUUUUUAGUUGGGAUUUCUCAGCAAUUGCUUUGUUGGUAUAGUUUUUAGUAGUGUCCGUUGUCUUUGAGGGCAUCACCGAACUGUUACCCUUGGAACUGUUAGGUGGGUUGCACUUCCCUGGUUCUUAAACCAACUCCUACUCUUUCUUAUCACCGCAGCUAUACUUUGAUCCUGAAGUUUAGCCAACUUGAAUGCCUGAGCUAGGGAUCUUGGCUACCGCAUUUUAACAGUCGACAUAAGUUCUUCUUUCAAUCCACUCAUAAAGCUGGAUAAGAAGUACUCUGGUACAAAGUGGGAAGAAGUAUGCAGUAGUCUCAAUCGCAAUUCUUCAAAUUGCUCUUGGUACUCUAUAGUUCCCUAUUGUGUCAAUUUGUUAAAUUCUUUGACUACAUCCUUCAAACCAUAGGAGUCAAACCAUUUGCAUACAUCCUGUGCCAAUACCUCCCAACUCACCACUCCCUUCUCGGCCAAGUAGCCGUGGAAUCAGGUAUCUACCCUCGGUUCCAUGUGCAUACUUGCCAACUCCAAUUUCUGUUGUUCCUUAAUCCCAUAAAUCUCAAAAUACCUCUCGCACCUCCUAAUCCAACUCCUGGGAUUAUCCUCGCUGAAGAAAUCCAGUCAUGGAAAGGUACGGGGUGGCUAGCUCUGCUAUGCAACUGAUAUCUUCUCUAGAUGAUGGAAUCGAGGUGGGUAGGAUACCUCUCUCUUCCUGGAUGAUUGAUUCGGAUGCACCCUUCGAUGGUGUCGCCUACUACUGGUUCACUAGUAAGUCCAUUAACUGAUCUAACUUCUUAGUGGUGGCUGUGGAAUCCCGACGCAAUGCUUCAUAAUGGCUCUGCUCCUCAUCCCUCAUAGCUUCAAUUUCACGAUAAAGUUCUUCAAACUUCUUACUAUUCUCGGUUGCUAGUUCAUGCAUCUGUUGCUCCAGGGAUUGCACAUGCUCAUCGAGCACUCUAAGCCUGUUGCCCUCCACCAUGGCCAACGCAGACUUGCAAACGAAUUUAAAGCGGUUCCCCUUACUUGACCCUGUUGGAUCGUUGGCGCUAACCAUUAAUCCCAAAAGCUCGAGCUGUUAGAAAUACGCAACCAAUUCACUUAAAGCGUACAGAAACAGCGCCCACGGGUCUCGAUUGUGACUCGGCCCACCUGGCCUCACGCCACUUCGAACAUGACUCGGCCCAACCCAGCCUCACGCUAUUUCGAACAUGACUCGGCCCACAUGGCCUCCUGCCACAGGGUAGGAUGCUGGCCCAUUUAAGCCAGCAGACCCAACAUCGGCUAUGAAACGCCCAAUACUCGAUGAUGUUACUGUUAGAAAAUUACGUACGGUAAAACACAGCGGAAAAAGAAAUCAAACAAAUUUGAUUUUGAAAAACUCUCGAGAUCUAAUCUCAAAAACCACGCAAGUAGGAUCCCUCAUGUUCUUUAAGAUUAAAGGAGAAAAGUAAGAUCGAAUCAUUACCUUUUUCGCGGAUAAAUUCUUGCCUCAAUUUGAUGAUCGUGGAAUCGGGUUCUCUUGAAGCCGCACACGCGUCCGGCCUCUAUAGGUAUCCACACGAGGUUCUUGAUUUGAUCGAUGUCCUCACCGGGGUGCUAGCUCCCUUGCAAAAGGACGUCUUUCUUGCUAAAAGAUGGAAGAGAGAAGAGAGGAUAGAUGACGGCUUGGGUUUUCUAAAAACUCCCGUAUAUUAUAUAUAGGAAUAUAAUCCUAUUCCUAAUAAUAUAAUGACAAUUAAGGAUAAGUAUAAAUCUAGAUUUAAAUUUAUCUUUUCCUUAAUUGGUUAGAUCGAUCAAAUCCUAAUUUGAUUCGACUUGAAUUUUAUAUUAAUUUGAUCUUAUCAAAUUAAUAAUGCAACAUUUGCACAUAAGUCCUCUUAUAAUUUACUAACUAUUAGUAAGUCCUCUCUUGUAACAUUUACACUUUAAUACCACUAAUUUGUAACAAUUACAAAUUAGUCCAAUUAUCAACAUAUUGACAAUUAGGUCCUCCGGCGAUUCAAUAAUCGCGAUCUAGCUAUCCGAUCAAUCACAACCUCUUAUGUGUGUGACCCCAUAGGUUCUAUUCUAUCUGGUAGUGAGAUAUAUUUUGAUCACUAUCAACAAUAUCACUGAAACUCCUUUCAGUGGAUCGGAACAAUUCCAACUCAGCCCAAUGAGAAUUAUCGAUCAUCUAGAUAAUUCUCAUGAGUCUCACAAUCCACCAGUGACGCCUAGCAGCAUGUAGUGGCAUUCCAGUAGAAUGGAAUACUGAACCUCUUGGUGCAGUUACCGUGUGAUACAAUCCUUCUAUCAUGAGUCCCGACUAGACGGAGGUUAUGGAAUAACUCGUCAAACCCCAUCGUCUGUCAUAUGUUAAAUUUAUUCGACUCGAGUUUCUAAUAUCGGAAACCCUUUUCCGCUAUUUAUUCUGCCCUGGCCAAGGUCUUCUAAACUCGGUCUCAUAAAUCACAUAGGACUAACACCCCUAUCUACCAAGGGAGAUAGAUUCCAUCUGAGUGCGCACCCUAUUCCUACAAUGAACCUACUGCAGCCAACAUGCACCGCAAGGACCCGAAUGGCUAGGGACCAAGUGUAUGUACAGUCAAACUACAGUAACCUCAUUGUGAAUAGCCGAGGCACCGCAGGUCAAAGGACCAGUCACACUACUGCAACAAUUGAGUAAGUCACUGACGAGUGAGUAGACAUCCAAGUGACUUCUCGCGUUGGUCACGCUCGGUACCCUUGUUCUCUAACAACCACCUGCAUAUUCGCUUCAGUGUCCCCACACUGUCGACUCGAAACUCGUCUACCCUGAAAGGGAAACGACCUAUGCACCAAUCUCAUCGGAUCAAUCACCGUCCCCGUGAUGAUCCAUUGAUCGGGAGCAUUUAGGAAUUAAUCACCAAUGACACAUGUCUCAAAUUCUCAACACUUGAGAAUAUAUGUCAUCAUCUUAUUAAUUCCUUGGACGAUUCAUGGACACAUACACAACAUGAAUGGAAAUAAAAACCCAAAGUUAUUCAUAAUAUUUUAAAAGUCAAAUACAAAUUUAUGUCCUAGAAAGAAUAUAUGUGUCGGCCUGGUUGGCUUCUAGGGCAUACAUCUAACAGUUACUGUGGGCUAGACUGUCAAUGAUGCACAACUUAGACUCUUGAGUGGCUUCCGCGGAUCGCCUGGUAGUAGCUAACCCUUGCAAUUUGGAUUCUCAAUUAAGGUGAAAAUCUGAUUGCGAGUUAAUCGCCCCUAUGCCGGCUGUACAUAUCCUUUGAUCCAGAUCCAGCGAGGGCCACUACCACCAAUUCCCUGGGAUCGGGACUGCUCUGAUACCAAUUUUGUAAUGCCCUAAUCCUCUCAGUGGAACUAUGAUGAGAUAACUCCUGAGUUCUGCCGAGUGGAGAUGAUGGUUUCUCCAAUUCAAGAUAGAUAAGAUAAAUCAUGGGGAGAGAAAAGACAGAAAAAAGAUAGAAGAUGAGGAGAUAGGAUAGGGAAGAUAGAGGAAGAGAAGAGAAGAAGAUUAGGGAAGAAGCAGUAAUUUCAUUCAUAUCCUUUACACUUUACUCCCUAUACUAUUUAUAGUCACUCUCUGAGGACUAUUAUGCAAAUAAUGAAAUACUAAGUAAUAACAAGGUAAAUGAAAUAACUAAAUAGGCUGGCAGGCCGUCAUUCCCGAAUGGACUGGUGACUUGGGCCGGGAUGGAAGGCCUGUGGAGAAACCCCAUGCAACCCGCGGUCCGCUUCCCUGUCAGAUCGGAUAAUGGUCCCGUCAAUUCGACCUGUUAUUCGUUACUAACUACUCUAGAUUUUCUCUUCCCCUAAAUCUACUCUACGACUUCGGUCGUCUCCUUCCUUGCCCUAGACCCCUUGUCUGCUUCGUCGUUAUAGAAUCCUCAUCUAACAAAAUAAUAAGAAAUAAAUAUAACAAGUAAAGAAGGAUAGUAUAACACUAUCUAAAAUUGUGCAACAUACUAUCAAAUUUUGCAAUAUUCUAUCAAAUAGAACAACAUGUUUUUAAAUAUGGUAACAAUUAUGUUUUCUCUAAAGUGUAAAUUUUGUAUUAGUUGUGCAAGUAUUUUAUAAAUUGUGUAAUUGUCAUAUGAAUUGUGCACUAUUUUAUGUUUUGUGCAUAAUUUAGGUUUUUAUUUGUGUUAUAAUUUUUUUUUUAAUUUGCCGCAUAGCAAACUGUGUAAAUGGCGAUUGAAAGACUUAUACUCUGCACGUCACAUUAAAAAAACUUACACCAUAUGCCCGCCUUCCGCACGUCAAAGGACUCAAUAAGCGCGCCCUAAUCGUACGUACAUGCGCAAUCUACAUAUUAUGGGCAGAAAAGCAUAUUGGUCAUACUAAAAAAAUUUAUUCCAAAUCUGUAAUAAUAAUUAAAAAGUGGUCGAUUUUUGUAAAAGUGCAAAGUUACUGAACAUUUUAUAAAAAAAGGCAAAUAUAUUUGACCACUAAAAUUUUGUAAAGAUAAAUAUGCAAUUCCACUCUUUGCAAUAGUAAGAUGCAAUCAUACCUAAAAACCUAAAAUGCUAUAUAAGUAGCGAUAUCCAAUUAUUUCUUUCUGUCAUAAAAUCGCUGCUACUAAAUUAGUGCCCCUACUAUUGAGACUUAAGGAAUGCUUGGCCCUACUAGAUGAUAUAGUCUUAAUUGAUGAAUUGCUACUUGAAUAGCACUUCGAGAAAAAGCAUUAUGUCAAAUUUUCUUUAAUAGAUUCUCUUUGCGACAAAGGUUGGAAGCAUCAAAUUGGAGCUUCUGCUUUCUUGCCUCAAAAUUCUAUCUUUGAUUCUCAUUGUAGUAAAAGCACCAGACUUUUUUAUGCUGCCAAACAUCCUAGUGAAUAUAUUGCAGUUGAUUGAAAAAGAAACAAAAGUGGAGUAAAACAAACACUCAAGCCUCGUUUGAUAUCAUUAUCUUUUAUUAAUUUUUUAACACUUAUUUUAUACAAUUUAACAUACCUGCUAGUAGAAAAGGAUUUUCUCUUACUAUCAUGGUUAGUUAGCUUGUAAUACUCUAGUCAAAUUAUAGGUAAUAACUUGUUUAAAUAAAAUAAAUCUUAAAAGAAAGAAAAUUGCUUUUGAUCUCCCUUCCCAUCCACUUUUUUACUUUUCCUUCCUAACUUUAAAAAAUCUAUAUUUUACCCCCUCAACAUUUCAAAUUAUUACAUUUAGCCCCUCUCCAUCAGGGUUCCAUCACUAUUCCGUACAUUUCUUAAAAUUUAUACAAAAAAAUACCAUUCAAAAUAAUAGAAAUAUAUUAAAAUUUUAUUUUUUCUUAUAGAAAAAAUUGGUCAUUUUGCCCUCUAUUAAUGCUGUACCCCAUUGAAAAUAUUUCUGAAAUUUUAAUAGGGUAAAAUAUAGAUUUUUUAAAGUCAGAAAGGAAAAGUAAACAAAGUGGGUACUUACAAAGGGAUUUUGUUUAUUUUAGCCUUUAUUUUUUGUUAUCAUGCAAAUACUUUGGAAGUAAAAAUUGCAAGUAAUCCACUAUAUAUCUCCUUCUAAAAAAAAGUAAAAAAUGGUAACAAUACCAAUCAAGGCCUUAGAAUCCUACUAUUCUUCUUACUGUAAAAAUAGUUUCAAAUUUUGUUCUUUCCAAACUCAUUACCACAGAUUCUUAGUACUAAAAGCAAAAAACAGAAAUGGAGUUAAUUAAGCCCUUAGUAUUAAAUAGUGCGAGUGCAGCUUGUCUAAAAGGAAUAGUGAGUACCAGCUAUUAUUUUACUUUGAAAUCAAAAGACAAAAAUAAAAUAACAACUAUUUUUUUUUCAAAAAAAAAUAAAAAGAAUAAUUCAUUAUCAAAUAAAUCUCAACAUAUUAUCAUCCUCUGAUUUUGAUAGCUAAAAAGGGUAGAGCUAGUUAUAUCUAUUACAUAUAAUGAAAACUUAGUUGGGAGUUAAUGUGGAGCCACCACAUUCACUUUAUUAGCAUGGGGGGAUGGGGUACACUUUUUUUGUGGUAAAUUACAACGAUAGUUUUCAACUUAGGCUUCGGUUGGGAUUGUGGGAAGAUUGCGUUACGUGCCAUGAGAAAGUACGUUGGAAAAAUAUUCUGUUUGUUUUCGUACGUAAUAUUGCGUUUCGCAUAUCGCGAUGAGUCAGUUACGAUAUAUUUUCUGCGGUCCCACCAGAAAACGCGGAAGCAUAUCCCUAUAUGCUUUUUCCUCAACUCUAUUUUAUCCGGUAGCGUUAGAUAGGCCUCAAUACCAAACUAAGCCUUAAUUACUCUUGAUUUUUCAAUUGGGUACCCAACUAUUUUUCUUGGUCAAAUAAGUUUUCAACUUGCAAUUUUUUUAAAAAAAUUUGGUCCUACCCUCAAUUUUCCGUUAUAAUUGAUAGAAGUCGAUAUGUGGAUGUUGAUGUGGAGUUUGGAUAAAUUUUUGGCUUAGUAGCACAAUUGGUACAUAACCUUUUUUUCAAUGUUUCAAUUGGGUUCUUAAUCUUUUAUUGCCAAUUAAAAAUAUUAUAAAUUCUAUACUUAUUUAGAUAAAAGUGUUUAACAAAUUUAAUGACUCUAUUAGUUUAAUAAUUAAUUAAUCUAAUUUUAUAUAAUAAAAAUAAUUAAAAUUAUAGAUUAAAUAAAAUUACCAACAAGUUUUUGCUAAAAACUUUUUUUUACUUUUAUCAUUUUAAAUCCAAAAACUCAAAAAGUAAGAAAGUUUUUUUAAAAAAAGAGCAGCAUAAAAAAGAGCAACACUAUAUAUAUGCAACCAACAGGGCUUACAUCUUAUCUAAUAAGAGUCUAUAUUUAUAUUAUUUUGUCAAUUUUUUUAAUAUAAAACAUUCAAAGGGCUUCUGAACCCUAGGAUGAGUAGACAUAAGAUACAAUCCUUUUUUUAAGUGUAUAGAUAGCAUUUUUCAAAAAAAUAAAAAAUAAAAAAAGUUGGAAAGUUGAAGGGAUCAAUCGAUAAAAAAAAUUUUAGGACUUAAUUGAAAAAUGGGUGUGACACCCCAUCAUUCCAAAUAGUCCUUACCGUCUGAAAAGUGGGGCGUCACAACAGGAAAAAUAUUGAGUAACUCAAUCGAUUAAAAAAAUAAGUUUAGCUGUUGCUAUUUAUUCUUCUUCUUUAGCUUCUUCUUUUAUUCUUCUUUAAAUUUUGCUGCUACUAUAAAUAUGAUUUAUUCUUCUUUAAAUUUUAUUUUUAUUUUUUUACUUUUACUGCAGCAACUAUUGCUACUUAUUUUAUCCUUGACUGGCUUCACGCCAUACAUUCUUUAGUAGUCUUUAAAUUUUUAGAAAAAUGCUUAUUUCGUGAGCUUUCUAUUCUUUAGCUUAAUUUGUUGGUUUGUUUUGCACUUCUAAAUAAAAAUAAAAAAAAAUAAUUAUCUAUAUACCCCUCAUAACUUCUAACAUAUUUCAUAUAUUCCUUUUUUUGUUUCAAAUAUACUCUUUAUAUAUUUCUCCGUUAUUCAAAAAUAACCAGUACUUAUUAAGUUAUUUAAGGUUAAAUUCGAAUUAAAUUUCUAUCAGAGUUUAAAAAAACAGAAUAUCUUUUUUGCCCCUAACUUAAUGCCAAAUAAGAAAAGUUGGCGAUAGUAGAAAAUGCAUACUUGAGAGGGCAAAAGGUCAAAAUAUCUAUUUUUGUCUCUAAACUAAGGGCAAAAAAAAUAUUUAAAAAGGCAAAAUAGUAAUUUUACGGAGAUAACGGUUGUUUUAAUAUAUUUGAAAGAACUUAGAACGCGAAAAGGAAUAUUUUUUAUAUUAAUCUUCUAAGCAGGGUAAGGGUAAGUAAGAAAAUUUAAAACUUUAAAAACUUUUGUGAUUUAAUGA